rnacentral:lncRNA from 1 species
GAAGCUUUGUCGGCGCUACUAAACUGUCAAACCUGCUGGCCACUUGCUAUCCUGGCUGAUUGAUUGCACAUGUGCAGAUAUGCUUCCUGGCUGUUGAUUUUAUCUGGAGUGUUCUUUGUUUACUAGUCAUGAGUCAGGAUUAGCAUGCGGUCAUUGUUGCACUGAUUGGGGUGUAGACUGAAGGAAGGCAACAGCUUGCAGCUUCUGAAAAUGAAUGGUCAAUGAAUGAGGACUGAAGACAGGGCUUCACUUUCUCAGGUUGAAUGGUCCAUAAAUGGUGAAUCGGAAGGUCAAGUCUCGAAGUGGAUGGAGAAAUUGUAGGAUUCCUUUUUCCCCAUAAUGAGCAGCAUUUGUUGGUGUGCUUGUACGUGACGUUUAGCUGCACUGAAUUGACUGAAGCAUCAGGGAUGAUUAUAUCCUCCUAUUUUGAUGUCACUAAUGACAACAUAUUUGGUGAUUGAGCGAAAAGAGGACGAGGAUUAAGAUCCAAGUCCUCAGACAAAGCCCCCACUUCACUAUAAUUUAGCGAGAAGCGACUUUCAGUGAUAACCAUCCCUGUGCACGCCCACUCAUAAGAGUAGUACAUACGCCUAUCGCCCACUCAUAAGAGUAACCUUUUGCAUGCCUGGAGCCUCUCUUUGCUACCUUUUUGCCUUAUUUUUCUUCCAACCAUUCACGUCUUUUCGCUGGUUUGCCAAACAAAUCCUAACAAAUACGAUCCAUAUGUCCUACCACCAAGAUCUCCAACACAUACAAUUUCUAAAAGAGAAAAGGUGCGUCAAUUAGGUUGAUCGGUGUAACCAUCCAAGCACAAAUUGACAAAAGUUCGAGGCCUUUCAUCAGCCCCCUUUUUUGUGCCCAACUGCCGGUCGCCAAAUGCCGAACACGUCAAGAAGACUCACCAAAUUUUGUGGUGGAUUUUCAGCGGCAAAGCUUCCUGUGAGAGGUACAUGAGGGAAAGCGACGUGAAUUCGUUGAACACUUCACGGGUGCUGAUGCUGUCUAUCGGAUGAGCAUGUGGAAUGAGAACAAAGUAGUGUGGAUAAGAGCUGAGGUGGUGAUAAGCUCUUGGCAUCUGCUUCUCAAGCACAAAAGUUUAGAUGAAACUUAGCUAAACAGGACCUUGAAAUGGAUGAUACUUGGUACCAUACUAUUUUGAAAUUCAGGAAAACAAGACGGAACGCUUUGCUGGACAUCUUCCGUACAACGCUUGUGUGCUCUUUGAGCCCCUCCAACGAAUCCGAUCAUGAGCACUACAAACAACUAGCGCGUAUAAUUGUGCUCCUUGAAAAUAGCUAGUUUAAGACCCCGUUUGGAUCCACUUCAGGCUUCCAAAAACUCUAGCCGACCUAAUUAAGUUUUGAUCUAGCUUUUACAAUCUUACAAGCAAUCUUUCCUAAAUUUUUUCAGUACAUUUGUGCAUUAUGACUUUUAAAAGCUCUAGCUGAUCCAAAGAAGCCAGCUUGGUCUAGCUUCUAACAAUCCAUAAGUUGGGCCGUACCUAAGAUUUAGAGGUCCUGGUGCUAAACAUAAUUUAGGCCCUACACUUACAAGUAUAAGUAAAUGAAGUGUAUUUUUUAUUUGAUUAUAUAACAUAUCAUGAUUAAGUGCUUGUUAUCCUGAUUAGUAGAACAGUAACAGAUGAGAGCGCAGGGAGGAAAAAUUGAAAAGUGGAAGUAUAAUUGAAAGGAGGAUCAUUGGAGGAAAAACAAAUAAACAAGACUGUUUUGAGAAAAUGAAACGGCGACCGUUGGAGAGCCGAUCUAGGAAGAGCAGCAAAUUGGACUAGUUCCACCUUGUUUUGCUGGCUUAGUGAUAAAUACUAAUUAUCGAUAACAAAAUUUGACACCAUCAAUUCUUUAAACCUGACCUGGUAAGAUCAAGUAAUUUAUUUGGUUGAAUUUUGAGUUUAAUUUGGCUAGAUCAAAUUCAAGUUAGAUAACUAAAAAAAAGUCAAGUUAGAAAACAAUAGCAGAUUGCAAGGUAUUGGACUUCUUUCUUAGUUCAAAAUAGUGAUUUGAUCUACACAGUAGAGUGUGUGGGUGGGUGCCUGGGUGGCUAGAUGAAAUCACUAGGCCCCCGACAUGCUUGAGCCUCACUAGCAUCGAGCCUACCAUCCCAUUCAUCUCAUGAACUAGCUCACACUUCAUAAAUUUUAGCUAACGUCAUGUCGAAAAUUUAGUAGCCUAAUCUUUCCAUCAUGAACCCAAAAAAAAAUGCAAACCAUGAUAAUGUGCAAUUGUAUGCUAACAACAAAAGGAAAUGAACUUUGGCCACUCAUUUAUAAACAAGUGUUUGGAUGGGACCUACACAAAUAAUAUCAUGGAAUUCUCGUCAUGUACAAACAUCUUCGUAAUAACAGAAGAAAGUAAGUAGAAAUAGGUUGAACGGUUCAUUUUUAACCACCCACUAGGUACCCCUUGCGGCUGGCAGCUGCUGCAAGGCAGCCCCGCUGAUCUUCAGCCUGGUAGGUGUGCUCGAACCUGCCGCAACCGCAAAGUAUAUAAAGAGGUUACAGAUCAGAGUCGCUCGAAAUGGUAAAAGUGUAAAAGGUUUUUUUACGGUAUACAAUACUACCUUAUACUACUGUUCGAAAAGGACUCGUAUAUAAGGAUCCUACGGUUAAGAUUAAUUGUAUACUACUAAAACCUUAAGCUAGGUAGUAUGCAUGAGAGUAUGGGUAGUACAGGGUAGGUUAUCUUCUCUUCAUUUCCUUUUGCUCAUCGUCUCUUCAUUUCCAAUCGCUCGCAUGCGCACUGGGCUGGUGGCGGCGACUCCGCUCACUGGUCUAAAAACACUCGGCAAAGAGUUCGCCGAGUGUAACCCUCGGCGAACUGUACUCGGCAAAUUUCGCCUCGGCAAACAGUGGAGUUGCCGAGUGCCGAACGUCGGGCACUCGGCAAAUGGUUUGCCGAGUGUCAAAAAGCACUCGGCAAACAUUUUCAGAAAAAAUAAAAAAAAACAAAAACACCGGCCGCCGGCCACCACGCCACCCCGCCGCCUCGCCCGCUGCCGCCUGCCACCACGCCACCUCGCCCACUGCCGCCCGCCACCAAGCCGCCUCGCCUGCUGCCCCCACGCCGCCUUGCCCGCUGCCGCCUGCCACCCGUACGCCGCCUCGCCCGCUGCCGCCCGCCACCCGGACGCCGCCUCGCCCGCUGCCGCCCGCCACCUGCACGCCGCCUCGCCCGCUGCCGCCCGCCACCUGCACGCCGCCUCGCCUGCUGCCGCCCGCCACCCGGACGCCGUCUCGCCCGCUGCCGCCCGCCACCUGCACGCCACCUCGCCCGCUGCCGCCCGCCACCUGCAUGCUGCCUCGCCUGCUGCCGCCCGCCACCCGGACGCCGCCUCGCCCGCUGCCGCCCGCCACCCGGACGUCGCCUCACCCGUUGCCGUGCGCCACCCGGACGUCGCCUCACCCGUUGCCGUGCGCCACCUGCACGCCGCCUCGCCCGCUGCCGCCCGCCACCACCACGCCGCCUCGCCUCCUGCUGCCACCCGCCACGCCGCCACAUCCGGCCGGAAAGGGGAGGGGGCCUCGCUGGGGGAAGGAGGGGCGGCUGCGCCGCCGCCGAAUCCGGCCGGGAGGGGCCGCGCCGCCGCCGGAUCCGACCGGGAGGGGCCGCGCCGCCGCCAGAUCCGGCCGGGAGGGGCGGGCCGUGCCGUCGCCAGGGAAGGAGGAGGGGAGAGGAGGGUGAGGGGCGCCGACAGGAGAGGGAGAGGGAGGGAGGGAAGGGGCGGCGGCGGCAGCUAGCCGGUGGCGAUGAGAGGGAGGUGGGGGGCGGAGCUAGGAAGAGGAGAGGGGCGUCGGGGGGGCGCUGGAGGCUGGGGUGCUGGGGACGGGGGGCCGGGGGGACGGGUAAAAUACUUGGUGUUGAUGUUUGCCGAGUGUCCCCCACGGGGCACUCGGCAAAGAAAAAGAAAAAAGAUAUUUGCCGAGUGUGAAAAGAAAAAACACUCGACAAACAUUAUAUAAUUACCUUUAAUACAUUAUUAAAAAUAUCCAAUAGUUCCAAAAAAUUAGCAAAAUGACACCUGAAACAAUAUAUGUUCUCUAUUGCAUAUAAAAAAAGUUUUGUGGUCAAAUAAAAUCUCUACCGUCACUUUGACUCUAAAUCUAAUCGAAUUCUUCUCAACGCUACUAUUCUUCUUCGGAGAUGCUUCAGUUUGUAAACAUCGCACGUGACAAAAUGUGCAAAACCUUCUCAAUUUUUUACCACAACCUCCACGCAUGAUAUCAUCACACCAUGACAAAUCUCAUGAUUUUCCGACUUCGUUUGCCUUUUUUAGAAUUUAAAAAUCAUUCAAUCACAUGUUUGUGGUUAUGUUCUCUGAACAAGAUGUUUGAAAUUUCUUUUCAUUUCAUGGGUAAGGACUCAAACUGGGCUAAAUAACAUAAAUAUCAUUUUUCUACGCAUUUUAUUCUAUAAUUUGAAUCACUUGCAGUUCAAAUUUGACUUAUACCAAAAAUUCCCUUAAAAUGCAAUUAAUUAAUUAAAUAUAGCAAACAAAUCCAAAAAUAUACCAAAUUUUAAUAUGAAGUACCACAUGUUGUAUGUGGGGAGUAGAAAAUAUUUCAAGGUGAAAAGAGGGAAAAAUUAUUUUUUUACCGAGUGUCAAAAAAAACACUCGGCAAAGACACUCGGUUGCCGAUUGUUUUUUUGACACUCGGCAAAGAGACGGGUUUGCCGAGUGUUUUUUUCGUGACACUCGGCAAAGAUUCAAUUUGCCGAGUGUUUUUUCUUUGCCGAGUGUUUUUAGCUUGGCAUUCGGCGAAGAGCUUGUUUGCCGAGUGUUAAAAAAAAAAAAACACUCGGCAAAGAAAAAACACUCAGCAAUUUUUAGCUUUCCGGCAGUGGCUGCCUCCUAAAUCCUUUUGCUCAUCGUCUCUUCAUUUCCAAUCGCUCGCACGCGCACUGGGCUGGUGGCGGCGACUCCGCAGCUGGAGGCAGCGAGGAAGAAGGAGGUCAGGUACGAGAAGAUCCGGACCAUCGAGAAGGGCCACCGGCGGCACUUCCACGACGACAUCACCGUCGUCAUGCUGUUCCUCGACAGGUGCAGGUCUGGACCGGAGGACAUCGACGGCAGCGCCCGUCGACGUCUUCUCCUGCAGCCCCGCCGGCGACCACAAGGACCCGACCAGGCCCGUCCUGCGUUGAGGUUGAUCUCGGAUUCUCGGCUGGUCCUCCUCGUGCUAUCCAGAGAUUGAUGAACAUACUGUUCUUUCUUUCGGUGCUUGAUCCGAUUGCUCGCUCUCUAAACGAGAGGUACGCGUGAAUCGAGCCGUUUCCCGUUCAAGGAGAAUUUGCCUGCAAAGAAAUGCUAGUAUCGAAUCGAACAUACUGUGUGGUAAUUAAACGUACUGUAAACCUUCAUCAGUUCCUUCUUUCGUUUUAAGAGAAUGUGAAUGUUCUACUGCACUCCAACGAUCCUGCUUUCUAGUAUCUGUUCUUCCCGUUGUUCUUCAUAGCCGCCGGCGGCGAGCUCCUUCAGACGAGUGAGCAGCGAAUAAUAUAUGUCGUGCUAAUUACAAUUUUACCUAUAUUAAAAAAUAGCCUAUACUCUAUACUACUACCAGGUAGUAUUGUCAAACGUCAGAAUUGGUUCGUUUCUAUUCCGAGCAAGCUGUUCCUGGACUUUCUUCUUCAGUUCACCUUUCUUGCGCCUUUCUUCCUGUCUUCUUUCCUCUAUCGUUUCCCUGGUCUCACAAUCUGGAAUGUAAACACUGAGGUGGACCUCGUUGAUGCUUUGGAGAAAUUCUAGCCCAGAAAAUUCAAUCUCAUUAUUUACUUGCCCUCUGACCUGCAGCCGCUCAAGUUUGGGCAUUAUUCCUUCUUCAAACUUUACCGAUUUGAUGCCCCAUAAGUAUGCAAGCAUGAGCACCCUGAGGCUUCCGAAAGCUCUUCCAGUCUGCUGAGAUCGGAAACGAAGUUCUUCACCCUGAAACGAUUGCCAAGACAAGCUUAGAAUUUCCAGCUUUGACAGUUUCCCAAGGAAUUCCAUAGCAUCAUCGUGCUCCAAUAGCCUGGUGCAAACUAGUUUCAACUUCACGAGAUGCGGGAGCUGCUUGAUCCAUUGCGGCAACGUUUCCAUAUUGCCAUAGAGCUUGAGGCUCUGCAGGUUUUCUGGAGGGGAGGAUAUUGCAUCCAAGCAGCCACGCAAACCUGGGUAUCCUGCCGAACUCACAGACAGCGAUUCCAGCCUGCUGAGAUUGGAAAUGGCAGCGCGAAAAGCUGGGCCAUUCUUCCUGUUGAUGCCGGCAACUCCUAACUUGCGCAACCCCGUAAGCAUUUUAAUGUCCUGUAGAACGGCAUUUCCCCUUCCGACAUGCACUUCCCGCAAUGUGUGCAACUCUUUCAGUUUUCUUGUCCCCCUUGGCACCAUAGCGCCUCUUUCUGCAUAAACUCCUGUCAUGACAGCAGGGAAUUUCACGCAGCAAGCGAAAGUGUAUGCAUCACGCCUUGUAAGGGCCUUAUGGAGAGGGCCAUCAAUGUCCCAAAGAACAGGUGCGCAACAUGUUGCACAUAGACCCGCCCCCCAAAGACAUCUCCUGGUUAAACUGUACUUUUCCCCUAUCCCAUAAUCUAGUCCUUGACCAGCAUGGAUGUACUGUAGCUUCCGAAGCUUGAUGAUGGUUUUGGGCAGAGCCAUUAUGCAUGUACCUCUGACGUCUAGCACUUGGAGCUGUCUCAGGUUGCCCAAUAAAUCUGGCAGUAGAUCAAUACCACUACAUCCUCGUAGAGAGAGGUAUUUUAGGUGAACAAGCUUCCAAAUAUGAUCAAGCUGAUGGUAUUUUAGAUCAUCUAUAUCUUCUAAGUCGAGCACUCGUAGAAGCCUCAUCUUGUCAGAAAUGUAAAAUGGUCUGAAUUCUCCGAACACGGUUAGUGAUCGUAAUCGUGACAGAUCAACUAUUCUCUCUAACUCACUCUGAUCUCCUUUCCAGUUGCUGCUUAUUGCAAGAUGACGAAUUGCGCCAUGGGUACUCAAGCCACAUCCUUCCUCCAGUCUAAAAACAAGGUUUUCCUCCAUUGACUUUGAGAUGGCAAUGUCACGGAUGAGAUCAUGGACUUUGCAAGAGUCAAUUGAUUUUCUACUGCGAACUGAUUGUUGAAAUGGUAAAAUCAUGCUUCUGUAUUUGAGUUGUGUAAAGUAAUUUUCAGCCAUUUCAUUGGCAGACUUGCCACGCCUCUCGUGUGAGUACCCUUCUACUGUCCAUCGAUGCACCAAACGCCUCUGGCUAAUGAUGUGGUCCUCAGGAAAAAUGGAUAGAUAUAAGAAACAUGACUUGAGUUCAUAGGGUAAACCAUCAUAACUUGUCUGAAGGACGGUUCUUAUCAUCCCAAGCUCUGGAUUCAUCUCUAACUCAGCACUGAUAUUUUCAUUCAACUUUCUCCACUCAGCUCUAGUCUUUGGCCGGCUUGCCAAGUAGCCACCUAUUGUAACUAUUGCAAGGGGAAGUCCACCACACUUUUUUAGGAUUUUUUUUGUUUCUUCAAACAACUCGGGAUUCUUCUUAAUCAAAUCUGUUGCCUUCACAAGGGGAAGUCCACCAUACUUCUUCAAGUUUUGGUUUGCUUCUUCAACAAACUCUGGAUUCUGCUUAACAAAAUCUGCAGCCUUCCCAAAUACCUGAUUUUAAUGCAAUUUAAGUAUUUUAGUACUCCAAUCCAAAAAAUAAAUAAUUGUGCAUUACUUGUUGAUAUUUUGUUUGCUAGUGAUAGGCGCACAAUUGGUUGUGCACAGUGAUAAACACAUAUUGAAACAACAGUUUCCUGUGAAACUUGGUGAUAUAUAAAUUUUUUUUGUAAGUUUGGCUGAAACUUGUCCAUUAUUCUUUUAUAAAAUAUUGCUGAAAAUUCUCACAACUUCAUGAACUUUCUUGGGAGUUGCCUUUCAUAAAACUUGCCCAUUAUUCUUUUAAUUUUUUUCUGUAGUAGACCACCUUUGAUGAGAGCUGUUAGUUUCCUUUAAUCUAACAUAUAUGAAUAUGAUGAUCUGAGGUAUACGAGAUCAGUUUACAGUAGAGCUGAAGCUAUGUUUUAAGGAAAUUUCCGUAAUACUAGGGAACUACUAAGUUUCUCCUGAGUGUUUUAGAUGACUUCAACACCAGAAUUUGGUCCCGCAGUUUUAUUCCACAACUUAUGCUUUAGGGUUGAUAUGUAUAUUAGUUAAGAAAUUUAUAUGUUUUGAGGCCUCAAAAUGACAAUUGACUUUUGUUUAUACAAUAUAAUUAUAAUCAGUUUAAUGUUGAAUUAGGGCUAGUCUACCCAUAAGUUACAUUCAUGUUUUUUUAUAAUUUUCAAGUAAUAAGAGUGUAAUAAAAAUUCAACUAUUUUAUACCCGAGUAUAACACUUGAUCCUUUUGUUAGUAUGAAGCUAGAUCUAAGUUGAGUUAAUAUCUUGAAAUUGGAUAGCUGAAAAUCAGGUGGUGGAAACCCCUAAAAUGCUUGAGUGACAUAUAUGUAGUCCUAGUCCCUAAUAGUAAGGAUAAAAAAUAUACAGGGACAUUCACUCAAAGUGAAAUAUGACACACCACGUAGCAACAACUCAAAACAAAUGUAGGCUGCGUUACUUGAAAUACAUAUGACAUCAUGUUCUUUUCAUAGUAAUAUCUCAGAUUGUUAUUAUGCUAGAUUCAAAAUUUUUUAACCAUUGUAAAAAUCUCCAAGUUAUUAACAUGGCUACGAACACCCAUAGAUAUUUAAUACUUUUCUUUAGCAACGUAAUGAAGUAACGAAUACUACUACCCGAUCUGUGGACGUUCUCAGUGUUUUGGUGGGUGGGGGUAAUUAAUAGUUUUUAAAUAAUAUUAUCUUCAUAGUCAAUUGUAAAUAUAUUUUAUAAUGAAACAAAGAAAAAAUAAAAUAGAUAGUUGACAGUGCUAUUGGAAACUCCUAAUAUUGGAAAAGUCACCUAAUAUAAUAACAAAAGUACCUUCCCUUAAGAUCCUCAGAAAAAUGAGAACUAUUUUGUGGUUUCACAUGGAUAAAUGAGUAGGAAAGGGAAUUAAACAAAUAAGGACAAAAGAAAUUAAUGCAUUCUCUACUGUGUUCAACAAGAGGACAAAACAUAUUUUUUCUGUGUUCUGGUGGUGUUUGUGGUCUUGUGUUUUCUAAAAAUACUGGGAGAACGGGCAUCAUUGAUAUACUGGGAGGCAAAAAUAACGUUAUAUAUGAAUCAUGGAUGUAUAGGUCAUUAGAGGCAAUAAUUGGGAUGGCAACAGCCUGUUGAAUAUCAAUGUAUUGAUCAUCUUGGUUCAGUUGUUCAAAUGAUAAACAAAUGUCAAAAAAUUUGCAUGUUCCCAUAUGUUCUCCAUUGUCGACAGGACCAUCUUUAAUCUCUACGAAAUGCUAGACUGUUGUAGUAAUAAUGCUAUUUAAAAUCAAGCAAAAGUGACAAGGUUUCUAUUAUAUUACCUUUAAGCUGAAGAGGUUAAGUGCGUCCUCUUCUUUUAGAAUUUCAAGGUUGUGUACUAUUCCAUAUUUCCCGGAACAAUGCUUUGCAAUGCUUUCCUCCCUUGUAGUCACAAUUAUUUGGGUUGUUUUUUCCAUCCAAGAAAACCCUUGUAUUAUAUGGUCCCAUUCUUCAAUGGAUGACAGAUCGUCCAGAACAAUCAAGCAGCUCUUCUUUUCUAAAAGCCUUUUCAACUCUUUAGUCAAGCCUUGUAAUGAUUUGGUCUUGCUGGGUCUAUUGUUCAACAGUUCUUCCUUCUUAGAAGACUCUUCUUGUAAUCGCCUAACUAAACUUCUAAGUAGAUCUGCAGGAUUGAAAGGACGCAUGAUUGUGGCAAAUGCGUACUUCUCAAACAUAUCACUUAACUUUGGGCUUUGAUAAAUUCCGUUGGCUAGAGUGGUUUUUCCAAGACCACCCAUUCCCCAAACAGAGAUCACUUGACUCUGUUGGCUAGCCUUGUUUGAGAUUAAUCCUAUAAUUUUGGAUAUUUCUUUCUCUCGCCCAAUAAGUUGAGAUUCCUCCAAAGAACCAACACCUGUUUUGAUGCGAGUGAGGCUCUUUUUGUCCACCUUCGUUUCAUCAACAUCCUUACACUGAUCCUCUGUUAUCUCACUAGGGGCCACUGUUUGGGUAGUUGUAUUGGUAGUGGCCACAUCUGAGCUAGAUACUGGAUCCACGGAAACCAUUUCAUUUUGAGAACCCUGAACAAACAGAAAGUACAAUUAUUGGAAGCAACCUUUAAACUUCUUCUUGUUGUUAUUUUUUUAAGGUUAUGUGUACCUAUAACCAAAGUACUAUAUAACCUUUUAUGUAAUCAUGCAGUCAGUGACUAUUGGCCAUAAAUCAAUUUAACAAGGUAUGAAAAUUACAGAUAACAGAAAUCUGGCCUUGCUGCAGUGCUUAAGUUUUUAAUAUCUAUAAGCCGAAGUCCUAACAUAAAUGACUAAGGUCAUAGUUGAAGACACCAGGGGUAAAGGGUUAUGGUUUCAAAUGAUCCACCUCCCUCUGAAAUCCUAAAACCCACCCAGUUAUUACUCAGUAAUCUGUAGUUUACACGAUGCUCCCUAUUGAUAGAAAUAUCUUGGUGUCCUCCUAUCUAAAUAUUUAAGAGUUUAGUGGCUGUGUUUAUAUUAGCUAAUGAAGAAGCCGUAAAUUAUAACUUCUUCAUCUAAUAUUCAACGAUGAAUCCCAAGUUAUGUUUAUCCUCCCCUCAAGAGAUGCUGCGAUCAACAUAGACUACAGCAAUGAACAGAUUCAGUAUCUUUCCCCUUCAUAUAGAUUUUCAGUUAGCAAAUGUAGUGAUUUCACAAUUUUGCUAGUAUAUCCAUUCAUUAAAUCUGCUGGAAUAUCCUGUAGGAUUUAACAAGGUAUUAUUUUUCACAUUCACAGUGGGAUGUUUCUUUUCAAGCACAGAUGGGACAAUUGCUUUAGAGAUUUAUAUAAUUAAAAUAAAGCUUCAAAAUUUACAGUUAAGCAAGGAAGCUUAUAUUCCCUCCGUUUCAAAUUGUAAAUCGUUUUGGCUUUUUUAGAUACAUGAUUUUUGCUAUGCACCUAAAUGGUUAUGUCUAGAUACAUACCAAACUCUAUGUAUUUAUAAAAGUCAAAAUGACCUAUAACUUGAAACAGAGGAAUUGCUUAAAUGCUGUUGGAAAAUAAUAUAAUCCUUGAUACGCGGAUAACUGAACCAGAAUAACGAUGUCAUAGAAUGUUACUAAAAAUAAAAAUAUAAGUAUUACCUUGUCAUAGAAUGCAUAAAGCGUGUGAUCAGCAGACAAUUGCUUUAGCUCUGAGGCUUGGCUAUCUUGCCCUGCACAUAAGCUUGCAACUUCAACUUGUGUUGUUGACACUAUGAUUCGGCUUCCUUUGUUGUUGUUUGGCAGGCAUUUUUCGAUCUGGUCCCACUCUUCAAUGGUGCAGAGGUUAGUAAGCACAAUGAGAAACCUCUUCUCCUUCACAUAUCCAUCGAACUCCUGAACUAAAUCGUGCGCGGUCUUCUCUGUGUCUAAUAUAUCUUUAAAUCCUUCCACUGCAAGAAAUUGGUUCACUAAGCUCCGGACAAAGCCUUCUGAACUGAAUGGAUGAGUCACCCUCACCCAUGCUCGGCUGGGAAAUUUUCUUUGGGUGUCUGGAUUCUUGUAAGCCGCCCUGAUGAUGGAUGUUUGGCCGAUAUCACCACCUGUUCCCCACACCGCAAUGACUCUAAGGUCAUCAUCCUCCUUGUUGAUCAGUUGGACGAGAUCCACUCUCUGAUUCUCCUUUGCGGCACGCCUUGCAUCAUCAACACCGAAUAUGGCUGCAGCAAUGAUGCUUGAUUGCACAGUGGCAGCUGUGGCCUUGGAUCCAGAGCCCUUGAUGAGGCGGUACCGCACAUUCCUCUGGCUCACAUCCUCAACCUUGGCCCUGAGCUCCUUCAUCUUCUUGGCCACACGGCGCCGCUCGAGCAGCUUGCGAGGGAAUCGCCACCAAGAUGGCCUCUCCACACGGACAGCAAAAUCUUGGAGACUGUCCUCGACGUCAUAGGCCGUGUCACGGACCUGCUUCACCCAGGUCUUCACCACCUUGUUGUCGUCUCGCUCCUCGUGUGCCUCCAUCAUGAAAGACUGCAUCAUCUCAAGCUCAUCCGCGACGAACGCAUGAUCUCGCUGGAUACCGAGCUGCAAGGCUACCUCCUCUGCAAAGGCAGAUUUCGCGUAGCCGAGCGCUCCAUUCAGCACGGACUUGCCCACACUCAGUGCCGUCGCCUCCAUCGUUCUGCUGUGUUUCUCCGUGGAUCUAUACAAGGCUCAAAUUUAGAAGCUAAAACUCCGAGGCAGAAAAGGAUAGAUGGACAAGCGUUGAUGCCACCCAGCAAGAUGGCAAGUACCUGAAUUUUGGUGAACGCACAACCAAGGCAGGGGCAGAUCUAGAGGUAAAUAUGCUGCAAAAUACAUUCUUGCUGUAAAUACAAAUAAUACAAUCUGUGAGAAACUGAAGAUCUUUGAAAGUAUACCUUCUGUGGCCUAUGAGAUCUUGUGGCGUGGAAGUAAAUACAGCACUCUACUGCUUUGAUCCGGCGAGGCUCAAGCUCACGGGACGGCCCACACUCACACGCCCUGACGUGACCCGGCAAGCCAGCAAGGUUGAGGCCAAAUGGUGUGGAUGCGUGAUUCCAAGGCAGUAGGCACCGAGAUGGCGGCGCCGCCCUCGCCGACGAGCUACGCCGCCACUACUCUUGCUGUCUUGCACCCGGUCGGCCUGUCGCCGCUGACACUCUGUGGUGGCUUGGUAGUCACCAGUUACUCCUCAGAAGUACCGCAUGCUGGCUGGGAGCAGUGGACUCUAGAUACCUCUAAUGGACUUUGCAGGGUGCUUACAUGGUCAGUAGGGAUUUUGCACACGAGCACUUGUUGGGGUCGGUUAGCAGCCGCCUGCCAAUUUCCUCUACACAUUAGCAAAUAAUGUGUAGAUUUUUUCAAUCAGUUAGCAAUUCCCUCGGGAGUAGAUUUACACAUUAGCAAUUCCCUCGGGAGUAGAUUUUUUCAAUCAGUUAGAUCCAAAGCGAUUGGGUAGCAGAUGUCAGUAUGUCACAUGGGGCGGUACAUUGGCAACAAUAAGAUACUUAAAGAGCUAACUGGCCGACGAUGCUACCGAAGACUUAACUAAUUACUACUACCUUUUGGUGGACCAACCUAUACAGACACGUAACACAACUGUCCUAGAAAUAUAGUUGCGCACAAGAUAAAAUUGCAUAACCCAAGCACCUUCUACUAAGGUUGAAAUGUUCGUUAUACAAACCAUGGCCCAUGGCACACAAGCUGAGUAAACUCCAAAAGGGUUCUGCAUACAACCUAAAACAAUCUUACAACAAAGAAACAGACAAACCCAAUGGACAAUAUCCAUGUAUACUUCGUUUCAGAAAGGUGUUCCGUUUGCAUUAUGCUUUAGUGUAGCACCAGGCUAAAAUGCAGGACCGUCUUCUCGAGCUCAUCCCUGAUGAAUGCCUGGUCUCGCUGGACACCAAGCUGCAACCUGCAAGGCCACGUCCUCUGCCAAGGAAGAUUUCGCGUAGCCAAGUGCUCCAUUCAGCACAUACUUGCCCACACUCAGUGCUGUCGCGUCCGUAGCUCUGCAAGCUGUGUUUCUCCAUGUUUUUUUAGAUUAGGGAAAUAUCCGGUCUUACGCCAUCUGCCACAAGGCCUUACAUAAAGUUUCACCAAACAGAAGAUGACAGACACUAGGCCUCAAUCUUAUUCCUGGAACUCCACCCAAACUAGCUGAAGAUUUCCAUGACAGCAAUCUCCAAAUUGCGACAGCUUUCUUUCAAGGCGACCUUCUCUUCCUCGUUAGAUAGCAGCGACCAACAUAAUGUCCAGUAUAUCCCUCUAAGAUUACCUUGCAUAAGAGAGUUAGGCUUGGAUCUUUUGAGCACUACAUCAUUCCUACUUAACCAAAUAGUCCAAUAAAGACUCAAUGCACCAACUAAAAUCUGAUUUCUAAGCUUUACAGAAAAAGUUUCUAAUCCAAGAACCAUACAAAUUCGAUACAUUGGUAGGCGAUUGAAUAUCAAAUGUGAUGUAAACAGAAUUCCAAAUUGUUCUAGCCAAAUGACAGUAAAAAAAUAAAUGUUGAAUCAUCUCACUAGAGCUACAGAAGCAACACCUAAUACUGCCUUUCCAAUUUCUCUUUACCGAGUUGUGGCAGACCUGAUGCUCACCUCACACAUCUGGCCUGAUGACUCUACAAAGUGACUGAGCUGGCGCCACAGCUGCACUCUUGGCGUAUGGUCCUGGAACGAAUCCAGAUCAAGUGACUUUGCCCAUGUGAAGCACAGUCAACGUAUCGACAGGUCAAAGUGUAACAGAGAGAGGAGCUGGUUUGGACGGAUCGAUGUCCUAUAGCCUUGCGGUGGUUGGGAGCAAAGUUUCCCUUCCCCUGCAUGCAUGUACUUGAAUCCAUUAUUUUGCAAUUCACCAAGCCAAAGAUGCCCAAAGAGCUCAGUGAGGCGUUCGAUGUAGGCAAAGUACUCACACACUCUGGUGAUAAUCAUACUGCUUAUUUGAUUGAUGGUGGCCUGGGUGCUGAGUACAGUAGCAUUUAUUUUAUGUUGUGGAGUGUACUAGUUGUUGAGACAGGCUGUAAAGAUACACCAUGUUUGAUUACAUGCAAAAAAUUUUUUUUUGAGAAGGUUACACCCUGCUUUGGACAUGGUAACAAUGCAACCACUCCUCCAAGUUCCCUUUCUUCUUUUUUUAUUCUACUACACGGAGAUCGGCGCAACAUCAAGCAUGAGUAAAGAUGCACGAUCGCAGAAAGCUCCUCAUAGUCAAGUUCUAAUCAUUCAAGAAUCAAAGCAAGCAACAACAGCUUGAAACUGGCUCACCAUUUUGGACUACCAAACUCUGAACAAAUACUUCUGGACUGAAAGGAUGCAUCACCCUCACCCAUGUUCGGCCAGGAAAUUUGCUUUGGACGUCUAGGUUAUGGUAAGCCGCCCUGAUGAUGGAUGUUUGGCCGACAUCACCACAUGUCCGGGUUCAGCUACAAUUGUAGGCGACAUAAACCGGAAAAGGACAGACCGGAGGGAUUAGAGUUUUUUUUUUCCUCCUUUUUUGAGAUGGGGAUUUAAGCAUUCUUAGGACGGAGGAGAGGAGGAGAGCGUGGUGCGGCACGUGACCUCAAUUUCUGUCAUUAGCUUGAAUCGUCACUAUGAACAUGUACUAAAAAGUAAAAAUUAGCAUAAUACUCCGUAGUUGCCAAUGAGUACCCACUAGUAGAGAACUGACUUUCGAUCCACCCCCUUUUAUCCCGGUUUAAAAGUGGCCCGGGACAAAAGGGGGUGCGCCGGGGUGCGGGAAUUUGGAGGGGAGCAUUAGUCCCGGUUGGUAAUUGCAACCGGGACUAAAGGCCCCCCUUUAGUCCCGGUUGCAACGGCUAGCGGGGGGCCGUCGGUGGCGGGACCCUUUUAUCCCGGUUGGAGGAUCCAACCGGGAUAAAAGGGACACCCUUUUAUCCCGGUUGGAGGCACCAACCGGGAUAAAAGGGUUAGUCCCGGUUGGUGCCUCCAACCGGGAUAAAAGGGUGUCCCUUUUAUCCCGGUUGCAUCCUCCAACCGGGACUAACUUUCCAACCGAGACAAAAGGUUUGUCUCGGUUGGAGUUUUUAACCGGGAUUAAAACUCAUCCCCCACUAUACCCCGAGACAGAGACUUUCUUCUUCCUCCAGCCCGAGCAGUCCAGCACAUUGAUAGAGAGCUGAGCUUCACCUACUCUCCGGUGGUGCCCAAGCAAGGGAGGUGCUGCCCGAAGUUUUUUCCCUCAUUUUCGUGGGAAUUUGACUCAGCCAACAAGUGCUGCGAAGGUUUGCUACUUCAUCCUCGUGUUAUGCUUUGAUUUAUGCUUUGGAGAUGGAAAGAUUAUUUGCUACAAUGUGAUGAUGAAGUAGAAAAAUGGAGAGGUAUUUUGAGCUAGAAUGUGAGGGAGAUUGAUGUGUCAUAUAUAGUAUGCAUUAUUUCAGUGGUUUAAAAAUGAUGCUACCUUGUCUAGACGGUUUAUCUUAUCAAAUUCAAUAUGGUUUUUUAAAUCCAUAUACUUGUUGAACUUGCAUACCGUGUUCAUUUCGGCGAGAAUGUUCUCCGCCGAGCAGCAACGUAUGUCAAGAAGGAGGUUCGAUUCUACGAGAAAGAGUGAAUACGGACAUCGUGACCGUGUCCCCUUUUCCGUAGCAUCUAACCUCUUUCAUGACGAAGUGCGGUGCCGCCUAGCUGAGGACAUCCUCGCGAAAUGAACACGGUCUUCAAGUUCAACAACUUCUGUAGUGGUAAGGAAAGAAUUUUUGUACAUAGAUGACUUCUGCUACUUGUUGAACUUGCAUACCGUGUUCAUCUCGCCGAGGAUGUUCUCCGCCGAGCAGCAACGUAUGUCAAGAAGGAGGUUCGAUUCUACGAGAAAGAGUGGAUACGGACAUCGUGACCGUGUCCCCUUUUCCGUAGCAUCUAACCUCUUUAAUGACGAAGUGCGGUGCCGCCCAGUUGAGGACAUCCUCGCGAGAUGAUCACGGUCUUCAAGUUGAACAACUUAUGCAGUGUUUGGGACUUUAAUUUAAAUAUGUGUAUUUGGAUCUUCAUGUUGUUGUAUUGUACCAUGUUGUUUGGAUCUUUAAUCGAUUUUCACGCGUAAUCCAUUGUCAAGUGUAAUCCAUUUUCGUGCGUAAUACGAUGCAGAUGGACCGGCAUUGGAUGUAUAAUGCAGACAGGCGGAGCAAGGUGUUUAUUGAUGGCUUGCAUUAUUUUCUCGAAGUGGCAAAAGCGAACAAGCCAGAGAAUGGGUUCGUAUGUUGUCCAUGCUUCCAAUGCAAUAACAGGAAGGAGUAUUCAAAGGAUUCCUGGGGGAUUAUUCACAGCCACUUGUUUAAAUACGGUUUCAUGCCUAACUAUUUGGUUUGGACCAAGCACGGUGAACUAGGGGUUGUAAUGGAAGAUGGCGAGGAGGAGGAGGAAGAUGACACCAUUCCGGACUGGGUUGCAGGCCAAGCUUUUGCAGGUACUACAAUGGGCGAGGCUGAUGAAGAUGAGUUUGCAGAAAAUGACCCUACUGAUGACCUUGGUCAGGUGAUACGAGAUGCAUACAGAGAUUGCGACACUGAGAAGGAAGCAGCAAAGUUGCAGCGCAUGAUAGAUGAUCACCAAAAAUUGUUGUACCCAGGUUGCCAGCAGGGCCAUAAAAAACUAGGUACGACACUAGAAUUUGUGCAAUGGAAGGCAAAAAAUGGUGUGUCCGAUAAGGCAUUUCAGGGGAUGUUGAGAAUUGUCAAGAAGAUUCUCCCCGAGAAUAAUGAAUUACCGUCCACAACAUAUGAAGCUAAACAGAUUAUUUGCCCUCUCGGAUUGGAUGUUCAGAAGAUACACGCAUGCCCUAAUGACUGUAUCCUCUAUCGUGGUGAUGAAUACGAGGAAUUGGAUGCUUGUCCCGUCUGCGAAGCCCUGCGGUAUAAGAUCAGGCGAGAUGAUCCUGGUGAUGUCGAGGGGCAGUCUCCCAAGAAGAGAGUUCCCGCGAAGGUGAUGUGGUAUUUCCCUAUAAUACCACGCUUGAAGCGCUUGUUCAGGAACAAGACGAAUGCUAAGUUGAUGCGAUGGCACAAAGAAGACCGUAAGGAAGAUGAGAUGCUGAGACACCCCGCAGAUGGGGCACAGUGGAGAUCAAUUGAUAGAACAUUCCCAGACUUUGAAAGUGAAGCAAGGAACAUAAGGUUUGGUUUAAGCACUGAUGGAUUCAAUCCAUUCGGUGAGUUGAGUAGUGGUCAUAGUACUUGGCCUGUGACCCUUUGUAUGUUCAACCUUCCUCCUUGGCUGUGCAUGAAGCGGAAGUUCAUUAUGAUGCCGGUGCUUAUCCAAGGCCCAAAACAACCCGGCAACGACAUUGACGUGUACCUAAGGCCGUUGGUUGAUGACCUUUUACAGCUCUGGAAGGAAGAAGGUGUAUGUGUGUGGGAUGAGGAUAGACAAGAGAUCUUUAAUCUACGAGCACUGUUGUUCGUAACCAUCAACGAUUGGCCUGCAUUGAGUAACCUUUCAGGACAGACAAAUAAGGGAUAUCGGGCAUGCACCCACUGUUUAGAUGACACAGAUAGCAUGUACUUGAAGCACUGUAAGAAGGUCGUCUAUAUGGGUCAUCGUCGAUUUCUCCCUGCUCACCACCAGCUGAGAAAGAGCGGGAUGCAUUUCAAAGGGACGCCAGACCAUCGUAAAAACCUGCACACCGUAAUGGAAAACGUGUGUUCGAGAUGAUGAAGGAUGUACAUGUAGUCUUUGGAAAGGGACUUGGUAGCCAACCUGUUCCGAACGAUGAUAACGGACAUGCACCCAUGUGGAAGAAAAAGUCAAUAUUUUGGGAGCUACCUUAUUGGGAAAUCCUAGAGGUUCGCAACGCAAUAGACGUGAUGCACCUGACGAAGAAUCUUUGCGUGAACGUGCUAGGCUUCAUGGGUGUUUAUGGAACCUCAAAAGAUACAUUGGAAGCAAGACAGGACCUGAAAGCCAUGGGGCAACGAGAUGACCUACAUCCGGAAAAGAGAGAUAAUGGACAGCACUACUUACGUCCUGCCAGUUACACUCUCAGCAAGGAGGAGAAGGAUAGCAUGUUUGAAUGCUUGAAUAGUAUGAAGGUCCCGUCUGGGUACUCCUCGAAUAUAAAGGGAAUAAUAAAUAUGAAACAAAAGAAGUUUACAAAUCUCAAGGCUCAUGACUGCCACAUGUUAAUGACCCAGUUGCUUCCGGUUGCACUGAGGGGUGUUCUACCCGAAAAUGUCCGGUUGCCGCUCGUAAAGCUAUGCGCAUUUCUCAAUGCGAUUUCGCAGAAGGCAAUCGAUCCAUCCAAGCUAUCAAAGCUACAGAACGAUGUGGUGCAGUGUCUUGUCAGUUUUGAGUUGUUAUUUCCACCAUCCUUCUUCAAUAUUAUGACGCACUUACUGGUUCACCUAGUAAAAGAGAUUGGUAUUCUCGGACCUGUAUACCUGCACAAUAUGUGGCCUUUCAAGAGGUUCAUGGCAGUCCUAAAAAACUAUGUUCGUAAUCGUGCUCGUCCAGAAGGAAGCAUCGCCAGGGGAUAUGGAACAGAGGAGGUGAUCGAGUUUUGUGUUGAUUUUAUUGAUUCAAUUGACUCGAUUGGGGUUCCAACUUCACGCCACGAGGGGAGGCUCCGAGGAAUGGGCACCCUUGGAAGGAAAUCAAGUUUGAGCAAUGAUACUAAUUUGUUCGACAAGGCACACUACACUGUUCUACAACAGUCAUCCUUUGUGUCUCCGUAUAUCGAGCAGCACAGGCAGAUGGUAGCUUCCAAAAACCCGACCAAAUCCGAUGCUUGGCUUACCCGUCAUCACAUGGAAACUUUUCCCUCCUGGUUGCGCCAACAACUUAUGGGUAACUCUGAGAUUCACCCACAGCUUGCUUGGUUAGCCAGGGGACCUGCUACCACAAUCGUCAAAUUCCAAGGCUAUGAGAUAAAUGGUUACACAUUUUACACGAGAGCCCAGGACCAGAAAAGCACGAACCAGAAUAGUGGUGUCCGCAUAGAUGCCAUGGACAGAAAUAAUAGCAAGGAGUCGUAUUAUGGUUUCAUACAGGAGAUAUGGGAACUCGAAUACGGACCGCUGUACAUCCCUCUAUUUCUUUGCAAUUGGGUGAAGCUAACUGCCGUCACCAAAGAUCAGUACGGAAUGACAAUAGUAGAUCUGAGCAAGACUGGAUACAGUGAUGACCCAUUCGUACUUGCCAAUGAUGUGCAUCAGGUGUUCUAUGUGAAGGACAUGUGCAGCAAACCCAAGAGGAAUGCAGAAGAGACAUGGGAGCCAAAGUGCCACAUAGUUCUUCCAGGUAAAAGAAAAAUCGUGGGAGUCGAGGAUAAAACAGACCAAUCAGAUGAUUAUGAUCAGUUUGAUGGCAUGCCUCCAUUCGACGUUGAAGUUGAUCCAAGCAUCCUGCUGUCCAAAGAGGAGGCUCCGUACUUACGCCGCGAUCAUGAUCAAGGAACUUUCAUGAAGAAGAAAUUUUACAACGUUGUAUUGUAAUGCGUUAAAUGUGCAUGACCUUUGUGUAUUAAUUGAUACAAUUUGUAAUUUACCCUAUGUAUGAUUUCAUGUGUUAUUAAAUUUGUUAGGUGAAGAUUUUUUAGAUAUACAUGAACAUUGUUAACCACAUACUAACAUGGAUUUUUCUGCGCAUUCAAAUAAUUUAAUUGAAUAAUUUAUUGAUCACAGCAAUGCAGUAAAAUAAAUAUUUUACAGGCUACAUGAGUUGGUAUAGAAAUAAUGAUUACUUCAUACUUAUUGUCAAUUUACUCGUUAAUUAAAUAUAUUUUUGCAUGUACAAAAUCUGAGAAGGUUUUGUUUUUCAUCCUGGAAUGCAGUGAAAAGGUUAAAUAAAAUCCAUUUCCAAAAAACAGGCGGGAGAAGAAAAAUAGGAAAAAGGACCUUUUGUCCCGGGUGCUAACAGCAACCGGGACAAAAGGCCCCCCUUUUAUCCCGGUUGCAAACGGCAACCGGGAUAAAAGGGUACGUUUCGUCUCCCGCCCGAACGUACCCUUUUAUCCCGGUUGCCAUUUGCAACCGGGACAAAAGGCCCCCCUUUUAUCCCGGUUGGUGACGGGACCCGGGAUAAAAGGGUGCGCUCCCAGCCCCACCUGGCGGGGGCACCCUUUUGUCCCGGGUCCCGUUACCAACCGGGAUAAAAGGGGGGGGGGCCUUUUGUCCCGGUUGGUAACGGGACCCGAGAUAAAAGGGUGCCCCCGCCAGGUGGGGCUGGGAGCGCACCCUUUUAUCCCGGGUCCCGUCACCAACCGGGAUAAAAGGGGGGGGCCUUUUGUCCCGGUUGGUGACGGGACCCGGGACAAAAGGCUCUUUUGUCCCGGGUGCCAUUACGAACCGGGAUAAAACGGGGGGGGGGGGGGGGGGUUUAAAAGCACUGUACUCCCUUCUACCCCCCGCCAGUUCCACACUUAGCGAAAUUUUCGCAAGUCCCGCGCUCUCCGCCCGUCGCCGCCUGUCCGCCUCCCUCGCCGGCCGCCGCCGUCGUCGUCCCCCAUUGCGCCGUCGAAGUCCCGCAUUGCACCGUCGUCGUCGCCCGUCCGCCUCCCUCGCCCGUCGCCGCCCGUCCGCCUCCCUCUCCGCCCGUCGCCGCCCGUCCGCCUCCCUCGCCGGCUGCAUCGCCCCUCGUCGCCGGCUCCAUCCUCGUCGCCCCUCGUCGCCCCUCGCCGGCCGCCGUCGUCGUCUUCGCCUCGGCCGCCGUCGUCCCGCCGUCGUCGUCUUCGUCCUCGUCGCCGCCCCGGCCGCCGCUGUCCCGCACGCCGCCCGGCCGCCGCCGUCCCGCCGUCACGCCGCCCCGGCCGCCGCCGUCAGGCCGCCCCGGCCGCCGCCGUCCCGCCGCCCCGGCCGCCGCCCCGCGCGCGAGAGGUCUGCCGCGCCGGCCGGUGCGCCGGGAGAGCUGGCCGUUUUCUUUUAAUUUUUAAUUUUGUUUUUUUUAGAUGGAAUUGUAAUUUUGUUAAGUUAGAUUUUUAGAUUUCUAAUUUUGUUAAGUUAGAUUUUUAGAUUUCUAGUUAGUUUGUUAAGUUAGAUUUGUAGUUAGGUUGUUAACUACCGUCCCGCCGUCGUGAUCGCCGCCGUCCCGCCGAGUAGCUACCGUGAGAGUCGCCUUGUAGCCGUCGUGAUCGCCGCCGUCCUGCCGCCCAUCAGAACGUAGUAGCUUAGGCACCGCCCGUGGUUCCGGUGAACCGCCUCCGCCGCCCUGACCGCCGCCGUCCCGCCUUCGCCGCCCUUAUCGCCGUCGUAGAAAUUCGUAGAAAUUCGUCAAAAUUCGUAGAAAUUCGUCAAAAUUCGUAGAAAUUCGUCAAAAUUCGUAGAAAUUCGUCAAAAUUCGUAGAAAUUCGUCAAAAUUCGUAGAAAUUCGUCAAAAUUCGUAGAAAUUCGUCAAAAUUCGUAGAAAUUCGUAGAAAUUUGUAGAAAUUCAUAGAAAAUCGUAAAAAUUUGUAGAAAUUCAUAGAAAUUCGUAGAAAUUUGUAUAAAUUCAUAGAAAUUCAUAGAAAUUCGUAGAAAUUUGUAUAAAUUCAUAGAAAUUCAUAGAAAUUCAUAGAAAUUCAUAGAAAUUCAUAGAAAUUUGUAUAAAUUCAUAGAAAUUUGUAUAAAUUCAUAGAAAUUUGUAUAAAGAUUCCGGACUUUGUACGAUUCAUGUUAUUUUAUGAUUUCAUUAUAUACAUGUAUGAUUCUGAACUGUGAUUAUAUACAAAUUUGUAUUAAGACGAUUUCUAUGACUGUCAUGUAUGAUUCCAUGUAUGUUUGCAGCAAUAGUUGAAAUGGCAGACGAUGAGACCGCAAGGUAUAUCAUGGAGCAGAUAAUCGCUGGUGAUGGUAGUGGCGACAACGUUCCACUAUCAUACACGGAUGAAGAGGGCACCCAGGCGGACAUGUUCCUCAACAUGUCUGCCGAUGUGAAUGAAGAGCAACAGCCGCAGCAACAACUUGCCGUGGCGGAAGGUUCCGGCGAGGUAUAUACAACCAUUCUUGUAUUGUUUCACGCCACCGCUACUAGUACGUACUAAUUAACGAAUCUUAAACUGUUAGCCCUCCGGAUCGACACAAGGGCAGAAGACCCGAGGUCGUACAAAGGUGAUGGAAGGGAGGCUUGUCAUCACCGAAGUUACAGAUGAGGGCAGGCCGGUUGCUCCCGAGAAAGUCGCAAAGAAGUACGUUGGUCAAAUCGGGGCAAUCGUCCGGGACAACGUGCCUAUCAGCAUCAGAGAAUGGAAGGGCAGAAGCGAUAAUCCGUACGCCCUUCCAGAGACAGAAAAGAAUAUGCUGUGGGAAGACGUGAAGAGGCAUUUCACAUUCCCCGAAGAUUAUAGCGAGAAGGAUGUCAAAGCGUGGACACUUAAGAAGAUGGCUACUCAAUUCCAGACAUUCAAGAAGAUGCUGGACACCCACUACAUCAUGAAGGGCAAAACUCCAGACUUCAACGCGUGGCCCAAGUUGAGGGACCACUGGGAUGCAUUUGUUGAAUACAAGAGGAGUGAAGAAGGUGUGAAAAAGAUCACGACCAACGUUGCAAAUGCUAGUCAGAAGGGCUACCACCAUCAUUUGGGGCGAGGUGGGUAUGGCUCAGCAAUUCCCAAGUGGAGAAAGAUGGAACAAGAUCUGAUCGAACGGGGAAUCAUACCUGCAACUAUUGAAUGGCCCGAACGAUCAAAGAACUGGUACUACGCUCAUGGAGGCUCCCUAAGCUAAGAGGAUGGGACGCUGAUUUUCAAUGACAGAAUACGUGAGAAGGCCGAACAUCUCAUGAAGAACAUUGAAGAUUCCAAGGCUGGGAGGUUGAGGGUGGACCGAGAAAAUGAUGAGCUCACAUUGGCCCUCGGUAAUCCAGAGCACCCAGGACGUUGCCGGGGGUUCGGGGUGGUUCCGUGGAAGUUCGCUUUCUGAGGCGACAGCGCCUCUUACAGAAGCCGGAAGCGAAGAAAGGAACAGAUGGAGGAGAGCUGGCGGCAGAUGCUAGAACAACGAAUGAUGGAUGAAAUCAAUCGGCGGGUGGCCGACGCAGUUGCGGAGUUGGCGCAAUCUGGAGCACUGCCGAAUCCUCACACCGCCAGCCCUUCUCAAUGCCUCGGGAGCAGUUGUGCUUCUACAGGGGUCCCCAAUGCGCAGACGCCCAGGUUACCCGUGGAGGAGCAACGGUUCCCCGUGGAUGCCAUCACGCAACGGACCUCAUGUGAGCUGCAUGCACCGGUCGGCAACCUCACUAUUAAGGUAUACUUAUACAUAAUAUUUAUGCAAUCUUGUCAAUUGAUCCAGGCCUCGAGAUCGGAGUUCAACUUGUUUACUUCUGCUAUAUGUAUAGGUAGCGUACGGGAGUGCGUUACCAACGCUGGCAGGGCAGAGCAGUCAUGGCAUGGACAUUCCAACAGGCUACGCCAGCGUCUGCGUCGAGCAAAUAGUAGAUGCCCAGUAUGAAGGUCUAGAGCUCGACUUCCCGGGAGGCGACGGGGAAAAGACAUUGGCAGAUGCGCUUCAUGGGAUCAUUCUAUGGAAGAAACGCUACAUCAUUAUUUCCCGCACGGAGCCAUCUCCUCAGACCUCAAGACCGCUCCCCGUAGAUCCCGAGCAGCGAUCUUCUCCUCAUACCUCGAGACCGGCAUCUCCUGCUCCAGGACCGUCGCUUCCAUCUAUAUCAAGGUCUCCAUCUCCACCACAUCCUGGUGCUGGGAGCGACGACGACAAUAACAACACCCCUCCCCGAUCACCGUCGCCGGCACCAAGAGCGGCCCCCUCGAAGGAACCUGCAGCACCACUCAAGAAGUCACGAGCACCGCCUCCCAAGCAAAGAUAGCCUCGAAAGAAGAAAACAAAGGUCGACCCUGAAGUGGCUCGCAAGGAACACUUUGAGGCAAUGUCUCAUGCGGAACAGUGGGCAGAAAUCCAACGAGAGGCCAGUGAGUGGUUCAAGAAACAAGCCGAAUUAAAAAAGGCAAGGGAGAUGGAGCCACCGCCAGUAAGUCGGCGGGAUUUAAACUUUUUUAUCAGGAUGGAGGAAGGAGCCAAGAAAAGGAUACCACUCUUGUCAAACUAUGAACGGGCUCUAGUAAAGGCUGAUGAAAAGGAUAAAAGAAAAGGAAAAUCAUCCUCCAGCGGUUCAGUCCCCGACCUCAGCCAUUUAUCAAAGAAAGAUGCUCAACGGGUAAAAGCAAUGCCCUUGGAUCAACAAGAAAAUAUAUUGAAGUUCAUGGAAGAAACAGGUCUGGGACUUGAUGAAUGCAUAGGGCAAGUCGAGAUGCCAACUGCACCGCCCCCUGAGCCGAGAUGGCCUUAUGAGCUAGGCAAGCCUCUAGUGAAGCCGGCAAUGGUACGGAAGCUGUCAACAAAGAUGUACGAAUUCCAUCAAUGGUACAUGACGGCAUCCGCCAAAUCGAGGGAGAUGAUCGGCAUGAAGGUAAAACCGAUAGAUUUUCACGGUGAAGGGGAGAAAGUGCUGUGGCUAGACUUCAAGGAUAUAUACGAAGUGUACCAUCAUGAUGCCCUGGACGUCUCUCUGAUCAACGCUUGGAUUCUGUAAGUGUCCGUUUAUUAUCUCUACAUGUAAAUUUUGGCGUGCGUCACCGUACUAACUUCAUCUUCCAUUUCAUGUAGGAUGCUAAUUCAGACAUGCCGCCGAGAGGCGUACCUACAUGUAGGCUUCAUGGAUCCAUCUGUAGUUAACCAACAACAGAUACAAUUAGCGCCGGAAAAAACCUUUGCCGAAAUAUACAAUUUCCUACACAAACAAACAUUCAAGGACUUCAUACUACUUCCAUACAACUUCAAGUAAGUGUGUGUAUACCGUCUACUUUCGAUGUCUUUUUCCUUAUCUCUACAUGUUAGUUAGCUCUAAUAUGCAUGAACAUUUUACGCACGCAGCUUCCACUGGAUCCUUAUUAUAAUUGAGCCUGAAAGAAGCCACGUCACUGUCUUUGAUUCAUUACGGAAAGAUCCGGUGGACUACCAAGAAUUGCAAGACAUGCUAGGCUUGUAAUAAUUCUGGACCUUUAUCUCUAUGCAAAAAUUUAUUUCCUAAAUUUUAUCCCUGUUACACUAUGUCAUUCAUUAUUCUAAUCCGCAGCGUAUGGAAACAAUUCAUAAGGACACACAAAGGUCCAUUCAAAGAAGAUCUUACAUGGAACACAGACUUCCCGGUACGUAUGAAGUCUGCACAUUUAUUACAUUGUAUAACACGAAUAUUUCAUAACUUAUUUUUUUUCCGCACUGAAGUGCUUAAGACAGGAACCCGGGAAUAACCUAUGUGGCUACUACAUCUGUGAGCACAUGCACAGUUUUUUGGGACCCAAGGGACCGAAGAUGACGCCGCACAACUUUAAAGUACGUAAAAUAAAUAUAUUACUAGUUAAUUAUUUUCUAGCUCCUUAUAUGUAUUUGUUCAUGUAACAUUCACAAAUUUCCAAAUUAUAGAUGUUAAAUAUUCAACAAGGACUCUUGAAGGAAGAAAGAGUAGCGGCAAUAUGUGAAGGUCUCAUUGGAUUCAUAAUGGACGAGGUGGUAAAUCCAAGAGGAGAAUUUUAUUACGAUGGACGACAAUUAGACACUCCUCUCAGCAACACCACGACGGGAAGAUCGUAGGAAGAUACUUUGAUUUAUUUGUAUAUAUGAUCGAUUUGUACUAAUUAAGCUAGUUGAAUUGUGUAUAUGAAUUGUGUAUAAGGAUUGUGUAUAUAUAUAGUAGUUGUAUAAUUACAAAUCCCAUUCGUUUAAAUACUAGUUGAUUUAAUUCAUUCUAAAAAAAUCUCAACUACAAGGUUAACAAAUUAAAAGGGCCGCGGUACUACUAUACGUAUACGUGAUGCAUGCAUGAAAAAUUCAGGCGUCACCAGUGCCAUGCAAGCGCAAUUUAGUCCCGGUUGGAAUUGAGCCGGGACUAAAGGGGACCCCUUUAGUCCCGGUUGGUAAAUCCAACCGGGACUAAAGGGCCUGUCCCGCGCCUGGCGUGGCAGGCCCUUUAGUCCCGGUUGGUGACACCAACCGGGACUAAAGGGGGUCCUUUACUCCCGGUUAAAAUACCCGGGACUAAAGACCCCCCCCUUUUGUCCCGGUUGGUUUAUCCCGGAUGGAUAUCCGAGAGAUAUGACCCUUACCAACCGGGACUAAUGCUCAGUUUUCUACCAGUGACCGGACUCAACUACACAAACUGCUUUCAUACGACACAAAUCAACUAGAAGGCUCUUGCUCCGGCAUACCAGCCAUCCUGAUAGAGCUUCUGGUCACCUACGGAUGUCGGAGACGAUACUUUUAAAAAGUAUUGUUGUGUAUUGGUGAAUCUUUCUUGCCGUUGGCAAAUUACAUGCCUUUGCAGAUCACGUAAGUAUGGUCAUUUGGUCCAACAUGCAACAACCACAGCAACAGCUAGCUGCUUACUCAAUCUAGUCAUUAGUCAAGAUCACAGUAAAAACGCACUCUGAUCCAUCCGUAGCUACAAUGGCAUCAGCAGGAACAGGAAGCAGCUAAGGUAUAUUCCAAAUCCUUUGGAAGGUGACGAAGGUAUUAGCAUGACCACCCCCCUCCGCCGGUGACCAUCCCGGUCCCGGCGUCCACCCCGCCCCGCCGGUGGUCACCCCGACCCCGGCGUACACCUAGUCCCGCCGGUGACCACCCCGGUCCCGGCGUCCACCCCGCUACGCCGGUCACCAUCAUAGUCCCGGCGUUCACUCUGCUCCGUCGGCUCCCUCUCCGGCUCAGGAGACGCUGAUCAUCACCCCAGUUCCGGCGUCAACACCUCUACGUCGGUAUCAUUGCUUGAUCCGGUGCCCACACCCUGUGUAUGGAUCACUGGCGCAGACCUUUGUUCGUGAGUGCAUCCUUUGAAGCUUCCAUCCGGACAACAGCACAGGAGGAAGGUAUCUUCGCAGCUUGACUUGGAAGAGGUUACCCUCUUAACAUCCUACUACAUCUCUUUGCUCUCCGCGUUUGAUCUUAGAUAUGGAUCAUACAAAAUUCAACUUUAGCCUGGGAGAAGACUUUAGUCGGCUGGUUAUGAAUAAGAUUGGUACUCAGGUUACUCUGGAUGAAACAAAAGCAGGAAAUGGUUUUCACCUGCUGGUGGUGUUUAGCAGAAACAGAUUUCGAUUAUCUGCAGAAACAGUAAACACUUGUCUUAACUCUAUUUUGGGAGGAAAAAAGGAAUCAUUCAUGGCAGAAGAAUUAGAAGAACAAAUCUUCAAAUUCAAGGUUUCAUCAAGAGAGGUUGGAUUUCUGAUAGUUAAUCAAGGUCUAGUUCUCUGUGAUCUAUUCAAGCUCUCAUUCUUCCUGCUGAAUGAUGAUGGAUUUGCCAAGGCAUUGAAAUUUGCAAAACAGGAUUCUGGACCUUUGUAUUAUUGGCAAUCUGCUAAAAAAAAAGAAAUCCACGUUGUUGUCCCAGGUACAACAUCCUUACUCUCAUCUUUUAUCUGGAGCCAAUUUAACUCCCCUGGGUUUUAGAGGUCAUGAAUCCAGAAAUAUUGCCACUAGGCUUAAACGCCCUGUUUCUUAUGCUGACAUGGUUAGAAACCACCCCAAAACCUUUCCUGGGGAAAAAGUUUCUCUUCAUAAUAGAGAGAUUUCCUCUGGUAGCCCCUCUUCCCAUAUAGUGCAAAGGGAAAAAUUCUAUCCUGCACCUAGGAAAUCUGUCUUUCAAAGAAUGCAAAACUUGCCUAGACAGUCAGUUUUCGAAAGAUUACAAAUCCCAAGAAAGGCUGCACCCAGAUUUGAACCUUGGCAUUGGAAUAGGAGCAAGAGACAGAAAAUCUCUGAUCCAAGAUAUCCCAGAUACCCCAGGGCUAACAUCUCGGAAUAUGUUCAUGCUUGGACUGAAAAAGACCAGCUCCCAUCUGCCAACCGCUCAAGGAGGUUCUCACCUCAUUGGCUGACUUGUUGGCACUGUAAUCAAGUAGGACACAACUUCCAAACCUGCUCUAGGAGGUUAAGCCUUCAAAAAUUUACGGCAGCUUUUGCCUCGAGGCCUGGCAGUAGCUUUUCCUCGGUAAUUGACGAAAACGGUUGGCCAAGGGAUAUUGGGCUGCGUUGGUUUAAAGCAGGCCAAAAAAUGUCUACUGGGAUAGCCCAAGAAAGCCCACCGGGCACUAUUCCCCUAAAAAAUUUGGGGAAAAUUGAGUGGAGAAUACGAGGAGACACUCCUUCUCCUUCCUCCUCGUUGCCACACAGUACUCCACAGCAACAGCCUGACCCAAAUCAAGAACUCCUCCAUCCUUCCCUUGCCGAGGAUAGAGAGCAAGAACACUCCGCCACCAGCAUGGCCUUCCUAAAUGUGGAUCCAGAACCACUUAUGUUCCCUGGCUUCAAUCGAGUCUUGGUUCAAGGACGACCCAAGUUCACCAGGGUGGUCACUCCAAGAAGCUCUCCGGCGAAUGAAGAUCUUGCGAUCGUCACUGUUUCAAACUUCCCCCCUGGUGAGAUUCCAUUCAAUGCUGUUCAACAAGCUAUAGUUGGGUUGAUUGAGGAUGAUUAUGAGCUUCGUAUCAAAGAAAUCCAAAGAAGCCCUUUUCACAGAACACAAGCUUUUGUCAGACUUAAUAGAGUCACUAAUAGAGAUGCUCUAGUGCAGCAUAGUCCACUUCAAAGCAAUGGUCUUUCAUUUGUUUUUGUCAGGCAUAAUAGAGGCCCCAAUGCCAGGAGAGUGCUAUUCAAUAGAGAAUGUUGGCUACUCUUGAUUGGUUUUCCAAUAGAUUCUAGAGAUAUUGAGGACAUCCGAGAUGCUAUAAAAUCUUUUGAGAGAUUGAUUUGUUGGCAGAAAGACAAUGUCAUGGCUAGGGUGGUUGUUAAAGUCAGAGUCACAGAACUGGAAGAUAUACCACACUACCUGGUUUUUUCAGAGGGGGACGACUUUGAAGGAAUUUCAACCACUGUUCAAGUAGAAAUCAUGCAGCAAAACAUGCUUGGAGGGCAGCUACCAGAUGAAGACAUUCCCCCUCCAGGCUAUGAUGAUGAUUUUGUGUUUCCAGGGCUACAGGCACAUAAUGCAAAUGACAACCAUCAGAUGCCCCAGCAACAAAUCCAAGUUCAGCAAAAUCCACCUAUGGAUGCACAGAUGCAUAAUCAUCAGCAACAGGUAGCUCUCCCAGACUUGAAUGAUGAUCCAGAAGAAGAGGAUCAUAUACAAGAACAAAUGCAGCAACUCAUGGAGGACUUGGAAAAUCAAGCACCAGAACAGAUGGAACUGCAACAGGAUCAGCAGCAAGAAGUUAUGGAUCUCCAGCUUAGUUUGUCCUUAUCUUUACCACCCAACUCGAGCAACAGCAUAGAGGGAGGAAGAAAAGGCUCAGAGAAAAGUGUCGAAGGAACAUCACACCAGCAAGGACAUUUGAAUGAACAACCUGAGAUAGUGUUGGGACUUCCCGCCAUAAUCAAUAUGAAUAUUCAAGGGGAACAGCAUAUGGGCCCACAACAUGGAGAAGAGAAUGUUGGAGCAAAUUUCUUCCUACCAGACUUUCUUAACCCCAUCCAACUUAACUAGGAAGAGGGGGAAGAACAAGGGGCUCAGAUCAACAUGAACAUUGAUGUCAACAUGCUCAUCACCCAAACAGACUACAAUAAUAGGAUGGACCCAGGAUGGGCUGCAAGGGUUGGCAAAGCAAAGGUAGACAAGGCAGAAAACCCAGACUGGCAACACAUCUGGGCACAUCUCUUCCCCACCAACGACACUCCUAAACAGGUGACAACAAUACCUGCUGAUUGGGCACCCUUUUUCAUUAAUAAGCUCUCUACACCUUCUAGAUUUGAUUGGGCCAGAGCCUUUCUUACAUCAAAUGCUAUUGCUCUCUUGUCUUCAAGUGCUACAAAUCUCAAUAUGAUAUCCUUCCAAUUACCAAUGGCUUGCUCUCAACAUGAUCUACCUAAAUGUUCCCUGUCAGAACUCAAAGAUAAUGAAUCUAAUGAGGAUUCUCCUGCUGAUAACCCCUGUCAACAGAAAAAAAUGAGAAGAGAAGAGCCUCAAGUGGAGAUACAAGCUCGGCGCAGUCCAAGAAUUCGACUACGCAAUGCCGGCUUCAAACACUCCAACUGUACCUCCAAGAAAUGUCUUGCAUGUGCUACAGUCCCACCCACCCUAUCAAGUAAAGCUAUGAUGACGGUUGGAACAGAUCAUUGCAAGAUCAGUAAAGAAAAGCUGACUGAGGAGGCGCUCAAAACAAAGAAACAGAAGCAGGCACCAAUUGGGGCAGGAAGAUCUGCUGAAUCAAGGAACAAGGACUCCAUAGAGGAGGGGGAAGGAUCCACAGUCUGAAGAAGAAGCUAUCAAGCUUUUUGGACCAUCUGACAGCUUUUGUCUUUGUCAAAUGCUAGCAAUUUGUAACAGAACUCGAAGGGUCAGGAGUGGAGACUUUUGUAUCUUCCUAAACUUUAUGUCGUUAUUUUGUGAUCAUAGUGAUCGGCAGACCAGGAAAACAAGGGUGGUAACAGUUUUUGUGAUGGAAAAGACAAUCCUUAACAUGGCAACAUUCUAUGAUAACCUUGCUUGUUGGUUUUUUCAAUCUUUUUGUACCUUGCUAGAUGGGAUUCUUUUGUCAGCCUCUACAAUAGGUUUCCUAGAGGUUUUAUUUACGAAAUUCUGGCCUCUGCCUCAAUGACCGAACAUCUUUAACUCUUAUCAUGAAUCUAAUGAAUCGCUCACAAGGGAAAAAGGAGUGGAAGAUCUUGUCUUGGAAUAUUAGAGGAAUAAAUUCAGAUGCAAAAUGGAAUGCAAUCAGGAGCAAAAUCAUAGAAGCAAGGUGUGAUGUGGUAUGUCUACAGGAAACAAAAAGGGAUUCUUUUGACCAGGCUUACAUCAAAAAAUUUUGUCCCCCCCAGCUGAAUGAGUUCUUCUAUAACCCAUCUGUUGGGUCCUCAGGGGGAUCUAUCAUCAUCUGGAAUAACUUGAAAUUUGAUGGUGUUCUGGAAUUUCAAAACUCUUAUGCACAGUCUAUUCUCCUCACUUGUAAAGGGACAGGGGAAUCCUGGUACUUGUCAAAUAUCUAUGCACCUUGCACUACUGAAGGAAAACGAGAAUUCAUACAAUGGUUCAAAGCAGUGGAGAUGGGAGAAGAAGACAAAUGGCUAGUAGUAGGCGAUUUCAAUCUCAUAAGAAGACCAGAAGACAGGAAUAAGCCUGGAGCCAACUGUCAGGAGAUGUUAGCCUUUAAUAACGCAAUAAGCAAGCUAAGAUUGGUAGAACUACCUCUAAAGGGGUGCAGAUUCACGUGGACAAAUAAGCAACAUAACCCCUUGCUGGAAAGAUUGGAUUGGUUUUUCACCUCAAAAGCUUGGACGACCUGCUUGCCCAAUUCCUUUGCAAUAGGACUUUCUAGAGAUAUCUCAGAUCACACGCCAUGUGUGAUAACAGCCCAAACAAGCAUGCCACAAUCAUCCUCCUUCAGGUUUGAGAAUUAUUGGUUACAACAUGAAAGUUUUCUGCCUAUUUUACAGCAUGCAUGGAGCCUACAAUCCCCACAAGAGGACCAGGCUAUGAAGAUUAUUGGAAAACUUAAAAAGCUAAGAAGGAUCCUCAAAAUGUGGAAAUCGCACUUACCAAGUCUAGAGAAAACUAUACAGAACAACAAAUCAACUCUACAAUUCAUGGACCUAAUAGAGGAGUCAAGAGAUCUCAGUAUAGAAGAAUGGAACUUUAGACAUUUGGUGGAACAGAAUUUGGAACAGCUACUUCUUCAGCAGAGAACUUACUGGAAGCAAAGGGGGAAGGUUAGAUGGAUAAAAAUGGGGGAUGAAUGCACAAGAUUUUUCCAUGCACAUGCAUCUAUCAAGAAAAGAAGAAAUACAAUAACCCAUCUAAGAGAUGAAGGGGGUACUCAAACAACUCAACAUGAAGCUAAAGCUGACAUACUAUGGAAAUCCUUUAAAGAAAGGUUAGGGGUAUCAGAAUACACACACAUGUAUUUCCAGCUACAAGACUUAUUCCAACAGGAGGAUAACCUGGACAUUCUGGAUGAACCAUUUUCAAAGGAAGAAAUAGAUAAGGUAAUCACAGAACUUCCAAACGAUAAGUCGCCUGGGCCGGACGGAUUCAAUGGAGAAUUUAUCAAAAAAAGCUGGCAGGUUAUAGCAGAAGAUUUUUACAAACUUUUCCAAGACUUCUAUGACAAUAACAUUUGCCUACGAAGUAUCAACUCCUCAUAUAUUACCCUCAUCCCUAAGAAAGAAAGCCCGAUGGAUGUGGGAGACUACAGACCCAUUUCGUUGCUUAACUCGUCUCUUAAAAUAAUUACCAAGCUUCUGGCGAUAAGAUUACAACAAGUGAUCAAGAAUAUGAUACAUCAGAACCAAUAUGGCUUCAUUAAAUCCAGGAGCAUUCAAGACUGUUUAGCAUGGGCCUAUGAGUACUUACACAUCUGUAAUAAAUCAAAAAGGGAACUGAUCAUCCUCAAAUUAGACUUUGAAAAAGCGUUUGAUAAAAUUGAACACAAGGCCAUUAUAGAAGUUUUGAAGCACAAAGGGUUUGGGCCCAGAUGGUUAAAUUGGAUCCAAGAUAUCUUAGCAACAGGAACAUCUUCGGUUCUACUAAAUGGAGUCCCAGGGAAAGUAAUCCACUGCAAAAGAGGAGUUCGGCAAGGAGACCCACUGUCUCCACUUUUAUUUGUCCUGGCAGCUGAUCUUCUUCAAACCAUAGUAAACCAUGAAAAAGACUUAGGCAGUCUCAACCUUCCCAUUCCUCAGGGAGCAGGGACAGACUUCCCCAUAGUCCAAUAUGCUGAUGAUACACUGCUAUUCAUGGAAGCCUGCCCCAGACAGCUUUUGAAGUUGAAAGAAAUCCUGCACAUAUUUGCUCUGUCGACUGGGCUCAAGGUUAAUCACGGAAAAUCGACAAUGAUGUCGCUGAACAUCACAAAUGACAGAUUAGCCAGCCUAGCACAGAUCUUUGAAUGUCAACACAGUUCAUUGCCUUUCACAUAUUUAGGCUUGCCUCUGGGAACGACCAAGCCAAACAUGGAGCAUUUCAUGCCUCUCCUACAACGAAUUGAAAGGAGGCUAAAUUCCAUGUCCAUGUUCUUAAGUCAAGGGGGAAAACUAGAAAUGGUCAACUCAGUUUUGUCCUCAUCAGCUGUGUUUUAUAUCUCUACCAUCAGACUUCACAAAGGGGUGAUAAAACAGAUUGAUAAGUUUAGAAAGCACUGUUUAUGGAAUGGAGCAGAUCCAAGCUCCAAAAAACCUUCAAAAGCAGCAUGGCCAAUAGUAUGUACACCCAAGGAUUGUGGGGGCCUGGGAGUUAUCAAUAUUUAUGCACACAAUGAAGCCCUCCUUAUGAAGUUUCUACACAAAUUCUAUACAGAAGCAGAUACACCAUGGGUCAACUUGAUCUGGAACAGCUAUUAUCACAAUGACACACUACCUGGAACACAGUCCAAAGGAUCCUUCUGGUGGAGGGAUGUCCUUAAGUCGCUCGACAAAUACAAGGGCAUAGCCUCGGCUACGAUAGCAGAUGGCUCAACAGUCUUCUUCUGGCAUGAUCUCUGGAAUGGAAUAAUACCAAGUCAGACUUACCCAGAGUUGUUCUCCUUUGUCAAAGAAACUAACAACACGUACAAGACAGUAUAUGGAAGGACCAACUUCAUACAAAACUUCAGCCUUCCCCUCUCUGCCGAGGCACAUAGGCAAUACUUGGAUUUGCAACAAUUUAUUGAGAGAAUCAUACCAAUAGCAAACAGAGAUGUCUGGUCAUACACAUGGGGAACAACGAAAUACUCAUCACAGAAAGCAUAUAAAACAAUCAUUGGCCACCGUAUUGUUCAUCCAAGCUUCAAAUGGUUAUGGAGGUCAAAAUGUCAAAAAAAAACACAAAUUAUUCUUCUGGCUACUUCUCAGAGACCGACUAAACACAAGAGACCUUUUAGACCGAAGACACAUGCAGCUCGAGUCACAAACUUGUGAGAUGUGCAUUUGGCAGAAAAGAGAAACAGUUAAACACCUUUUCUUCUGCUGCAGAUUUGCCAAAGCUUGUUGGAACAGUAUAGGGAUAACAUAUACCUCCACAAGGACGAUUCAGAAUAUUAUCUUACAAAUUAAAAACAAGCUACAGGUUCCCUUCUAUAUGGAAAUCAUCAUUUUGAUAGCUUGGAGCAUAUGGACAACAAGGAAUGGAUGGUUUUUCAACAAUUUGGCUCCAUCUCCUGGGGUUUGCUUGCAAAAAUUCACGUCGGAAUUCAAAGACAUUUUACUAAGAGUAAAGCCAAGAUAUUUGCAACAAAUGGAAAUUUGGCUCCAUCUGUUCGCCGUUCAUUAGCAAGGGCUCUUUGUUUUGUUUUCGUUACCGGUACUCUUGCCUACCUUCCUUUGCUUUCUAGGUCUCUCUUUCUUUAUUUUGUUUAUUCCUUUUUUUUUACCUGUUCUAUUUCUAUUUCUCUUUGUUGACUCUUUUGAACUUGUAAUGCUUCAUUUCUAAUUUAAUAUAACCAGUAAGGGGCCCGCACCCUUCCUGUUUUCUCAAAAAAAAAUCAACUAGAAGCCGGCCGGAAUCCCAAUGGAGAUGAAAUGAUGCUAAGCCUUCCUUCUUCGUCUGGUGGAGUUCAGGACGCGUCGGCUACUCGGCUGUAUUUGCGUGAAGCAAAAUACCAUUUUGGGCAAGGGCCGAAAAUGUCCGCAACAUGGCAUCUGAAGCCCGUGGGCCCACCACGAGCUUGUAGUUCUCAAGCAUCAAGCCACCAUUUCUUUGUGGCAACUACUCAUCGCACUUCAUGGGGAUCAAGCGACAAAUCUAUUGGCAAAACCUCAGUAGGUGAACGAGCUGGAUAUAUAUACCCACGCUUGGGAUUCAUGCCUUAUAGUGGUAAUAGAAUCUCCUGAUCAACGCAGAAAAAUGCAAAAGGAACAAAAUUUGGCCAUUUGAUUGGUUUGAAUAGCUAUUGGGAUUUGCAGCCAUACACAAAUAGCACCACUUGAUUCAUCGUGGGGAAGAAACAUCUUCAUAAAAAAUUCAUAAAAAUCCAUUAUGAUAUAUAUGUACUAGGGCAUAAUAAGUUUAAGCGAGCAAGCCAUCAAGCUUAAUUACGUGCUACAGUACUGUAUCAAGCACGUACGAAAGAUCUCAUACGAAUCAACGAAUAAGAUAGAUAGAUAGAUGUCAGAGGCAUAGUACUAAUAAUAGGAUUAUCUAUGAUAUUAAGUACCCUUGUCUUCCUCGCCAAAAAAAAAAGGAAACUUAUCAUAGAAUGCAUAAACACCAGUGGAAAACUCGGUAUUCGUCCCGAGACUUAGUACUGGGUGGUUUUUGAACCGGUACUAAUACUCAGCAUUAGUAUCGAGUCUAACGGCUAGUUCCUAGGAGCCCCCCUGACCCCCUUUAGUACGGUUGGGGGCUUCAACCGUACUAAAGGUCACCCAUUAGUACCGGGUGGAGUCUCCACCCGGUACUAAUGGGUGACCUUUAGUACCGGUUGGAGUCCCCAACCGGUACUAACUUCGCUCCUAUAAAUCAAGCGUCUUCUUUCUCCUGCUCGAGCCAUUUCCUCCAGUUCAAGCUUCAUCCAUUCAUGGCGAAAUAGGGGAGGUGCUGCCAGAUUUUUGACCAUUUCAUGGGGAUUUCACUCAUUCAAGUGUUCUAAAGGUUAGAAACUUCAUCCUCCCUUCAUACAUGGUUAGUAUACUAAGUUUUAUGCUUUAGAGCUAGAGUAAUCUGUGACUUUUAGAAUAAGGUAUAAUGGAGAAAUUUUUUAUUUAUAUGCAUGUGUUAUUUAGAGCUCAUAUUUGUGAUUUUUAGAAUAAGCUAUAAUUUUUUAGAUGCUAUGUUGUGUAUUAGUCAAAAAAUUAAUAUGAGGUUAGAGGAAUAAUUUCAUAGUUUAGUAUUUUACAAAUAUGAGCUAAAUAAAUUAUGGGAAAAAAUAUAAUUUGUUUGUAUUUUAGUUAUUUGCAAAUAUGAGCGAGAUAAAUUGUGGUACAUAGAGAUAAUAGGAUAAAAUAGAGGUAUGUAAUUAGUUAUUUUUAGAAUAAGCUACAAUUGAGAAAGUUUUUAUUUAUAUGUUAUGUUUGAGCUAAAUAAUUUGUGGGGAAAAAAUAAUUUGUUCAUAGUUUAGUCAUUUGCAGAUGAGCUAAAUAAAUUGUUGUACUUAGAGAUGGCUACUGCUACUGGUGGUAGUGCCGAUGGUGGGGAUGAUCAUUGUUCCUCUCGCGGCAAGGGGAAAAUCAUAGUUGGCCCUCAUGAUAAGCCUAAGAAAAUGAGCACGUGGGAGAGAGCAAUGCUUUGUUAUUUGGAAAGAUGUCAUGAAGAUGCUAUUGCGGUGGGUGAGGAACCUCCUUUUGGUGGUCGUUAUGCUCCACCGCCAGUCCCGGGUGUUUCAAGUCCACUGAGUACUACGGUCGUAGGAGGCACAAAUAAACCACACAAUGAGGCUGGGUCACUGAAACCUUCGUCUUCGCCGCCUAGGGAUGCUUAAAGUCCUCCCAGAUAGUACUCAGUUGAUGGUUUGUUAUAGUGUAUUAUGUUGUUUGGGUUUGAAAUUUAAAUGUGUGUAUUUCUGUCUAAAAUUUCAGCAACAUUUGAAUUUAAUGGUAUUUGUAUCAUAUUUGUAUCAUAUUUGUUAUGCUUCAUGUAUAAUUCUAUGGAUGAUCAGAAUAUCUUUGGUUCGGUAAUACUUUGUAGGUAGAUCGGCAAUGGAUGUACAACACGGAUAAAUGCUCCAUGGAGUAUAUUAAUGGUUUGCGUGGUUUUCUCGAUCUGGCAGAGUUCAACAAGUUGUCAUAUGGUUUCAUUUAUUUUCCAUGCUGAAUUUGCAAAAAUGAGAAGGAUUACUCAUCCAGACUAUUUACACCCACAUAUAUAGUUUGGGGUUGAUGCCUAACUAUUUUGUUUGGACCAAGCACGGGAAAGAGGAGUUAUGAUGAAGAUGAUGAUGAUGAAGAAGAUGAUAACUACAUUCCUAACUGGACUCAAGGAGGUACCUUUGCAGAUGCUGCAAUGGGCGAGGCUGAAGAAGAGAUGAUUGCAGAAGAAUAUCCUACCGAUGAUUUAGGUCAGGUGUUGUGACAUGCAAAGGAAGACUGCGAGAAUGUGAAGGAGUCAAAGAAGUUCGAGCGUAUGUUAGAUGAUCAUGAGAAAUUGUUGUACCCAGAUUGCAAACAUGGGCAUAACAAGUUGGGUACCACACUAGAAAUGGUGCAAUGGAAGAUAAAAAAUGGAGUUUCUGACAAGGGUUUUGAUGAGUUAAUAAAAAUUAUAAAGAACAUGCUUCCCAAGGGGAACGAAUUGCCAUUCUCAACGUACAAAAUGAAAAAGUAGCUUCUCCUAAUUCUGUGAAGUGAUUCUCCAUCCUAAUUUUUAAAGUUUCGACAAAAACCAAUCUAAUAUUUUGCAUCUUUUCUUUUCUUCUUUUGCCUUAACUUUUCCAAUCCCAAUCUGCUAUUCUUCCUUCAUCUCGACGACGUUUGAAGGUGUUCUAGGUGGCCUGCCGGCCCUAUAACAACCCUACAUGCGCCUGCCCUGACAGGAUCCCUCUCGGGCGAGUGUUCAUCGAUCUACCGUCGGUCUUCCCGACAACCGGUCAGACCGGUCGUUGUAACCGGUCAGAUUGGCCUGCACCGAGGUGCUGCAGUGAGCCCCUCCGCGAGCUACACGAUCAUGUGCGUUCAUGUGUUGGCCUAAAAAAGCGUCAACACAAACUAUGAUAAUCUGCAAUUGUAUGCUAACAACAAAAGGAAAUCAACUUUGGCCACUCAUUUAUAAACAAGUGUUUGGAUGGGCCAUAAAAAUAAUUAAUAUCAAUGGAUUCUUGUCACGUAAAAACAUCUUCAUAUAACACCAGAAAGUAAAGUAGAAACAGGUUGGAGGGUUCAUUCGUAACCAUCCGCAGGCACCCCUUGCGGGAGUAGUAGGAGCACCCGGGAAGGGCGGCAUGGACACUGGUACGCACGUACCAAAUUGAGAACCCACCUGGCCACCUGGGCCGCUGAUCUUCAGCCUUGCACGAAUGAUCGAUCCUGCCACAAAGGAUGUCCUUGUGUUCUUGUGUAUCUAUAUUCUAUAUAAAGAGGUUACAGAUCAGAGUUGCUCAAAAUGGCAGAAAUACAGACCUGCACGAGACUCAGUCCACCACCCUCACAAUGGGUUGGUUUGGAUUCCGAGCAAGCUGUUCCUGGAUUUUCUUCUUCAGUUCACCUUUCUUGCGCCUAGCUUCCUCGUUGAUGGUUAUUAUUUCUCCACGCCAGUACAUAUAAACAUCGAGCUGGACUUCGUUGAUGCUUUGGAGAAUAUCUAGCCCAGAAAAGCAAAUCUCAUUAUUUGCAACCCCUGUGACCUGCAGCCACUCAAGUUUGGGCAUUGCUCCUUGCUCAAACUUUACCGAUUUGACCUUGCUUAUUACUCCAAAACUGAGCACCCUGAGGCUUCCAAAAGCUAUUCCAGCCUGCGAUGAUUUGAAAUCAAGUUCUUCACCCUGAAGCAAUGACCAGUGCCAAGACAGAACUAGAAUUUCCAGCUUCGCUAGGUUCCCAAGGAAUUCCAUAGCAGCAUCGUGCUCCAAUAGCCUGGUCCUCGCUAGUUUCAACUUCACGAGAUGCGGGAGCUCCUUGAUCCAUUCCGGCAACGUUUCCAGAUUGCCGUAGAGCUUGAGGCUCUGCAGGUUUUCCGGAGGGGAGGAUAUUCCAUCCAAGCAGCCACGCAAACCUCGCUUCCCUGCUGAACGCACCGACAGCGAUUCCAGCCUGCUGAGAUUGGAAACAGCGGCACGAAAAGCCGGGCCAUUCUUCCUGUUGAUGCCGGUGACUCCUAACUUGCGCAAUCCAGUGAGCCUUUUGAUGUCCUGUAGAACGGCAUUUCCCCUUCCAACAUUCACUUCCCUCAAUGUGUGCAACUCUUUCAGUUUUCUGGUCCCCCAUGGCACCGUAACGCUUCUUUCUUCAUCAACCCCCAUCAUGACAGCAGGGAAUUUCACGCAGCAAGCGAAAGUGCAUGCAUCACGCCUUGUGAGGGCCUUAUGGAGAGGGCCAUGAAUGUCCCCAAGAAGUGGUACGCAACAUGUUGCACAUUGACCCGCCCCCCAAAGACACCUUCUCGUUAAACUGUCCUUUGCCUCUGUUACAUAAUCUGUUCUCCGACCAGCGUGGAUGUACUGUAGCUUCCAAAGCUUGAUGAUGGUUUUGGGCAGAGCCCUUACCCGUGUACCUCUGACGUCUAGCACUUGGAGCUGUCUCAGGUUGCCCAAUGAAUCUGGCAGUAGAUCAAUACGAAAACAUCCUCGUAGAGAAAGGUAUUUGAGUUGAAUAAGCUUCCAAAUAUGAUCAAGCUGAUGGUAUUUUAGAUCAUCUAUAUCUUCUAAGUCGAGCACUCGUAGAAGCCUCAUCUUGUCAGAAAUGUAAAAUGGUCUGAAUUCUCCGAACACGGUUAGUGAUCGUAAUCGUGACAGAUCAACUAUUCUCUCUAACUCACUCUGAUCUCCUUUCCAGUUGCUGCUUAUUGCAAGAUGACGAAUUGCGCCUAGGGUACUCAAGCCACAUCCUUCCUCCAGUCUAAAAACAAGGUUUUCCUCCAUUGACUUUGAGAUGGCAAUGUCACGGAUGAGAUCAUGGACUUUGCAAGAGUCAAUUGAUUUUCUACUGCGAACUGAUUGUUGAAAUGGUAAAAUCAUGCUUCUGUAUUUGAGUUGUGUAAAGUAAUUUUCAGCCAUUUCAUUGGCAGACUUGCCACGCCUCUCGUGUGAGUACCCUUCUGCUGUCCAUCGAUGCACCAAACGCCUCUGGCUAAUGAUGUGGUCCUCAGGAAAAAUGGACAGAUAUAAGAAACAUGACUUGAGUUCAUAGGGUAAACCAUCAUAACUUGUCUGAAGGACGGUUCUUAUCAUCCCAAGCUCUGGAUUCAUCUCUAACUCAGCACUGAUAUUUUCAUUCAACUUUCUCCACUCAGCUCUAGUCUUUGGCCGGCUUGCCAAGUAGCCACCUAUUGUAACUAUUGCAAGGGGAAGUCCACCACACUUCUUUAGGAUUUUUUUUGUUUCUUCAAACAACUCAGGAUUCUUCUUAAUCAAAUCUGUUGCCUUCACAAGGGGAAGUCCACCAUACUUCUUCAAGUUUUGGUUUGCUUCUUCAACGAACUCUGGAUUCUGCUUAACAAAAUCUGCAGCCUUCCCAAAUACCUAAUUUUAAUGCAAUUUAAGUAUUUUAGUACUCUAAUCCAGAAAAUAAAUAAUUGUGCAUUACUUGUUGAUAUUUUGUUUGCUAGUGAUAGGCGCACGAUUGGUUGUGCACAGUGAUAAACACAUAUUGAAACAACAGUUUUCGUGUGAAACUUGGUGAUAUAUAAAUUUUUUUUGUAAGUUUGGCUGAAACUUGUCCAUUAUUCUUUUAUAAAAUAUUGCUGAAAAUUCCCACAACUUCACGAACUUUCUUGGGAGUUGCCUUUCAUAAAACGUGCCCAUUAUUCUUUUAAUUUUUUUCUGUAGUAGACCAUCUGUGAUGAGAGCUGUUAGUUUCCUUUAAUCUAACAUAUAUGAAUAUGAUGAUCUGAGGUAUACGAGAUCGGUUUACAGUAGAGUUGAAGCUAUGUUUUAAGGAAAUUUCCUAAAUACUAGGGAACUACUAAGUUUCACCUUAGUGUUUUAGAUGGCUUCAACACCAGAAUUUGGUCCCAGAGUUUUAUACCAACACUUAUGCUUUAGGGGUUAUAUGGAUAUAAGUUAAGAAAUUUAUAUGUUUUGAGGCCUCAAGAUGACAACUGACUUUUGUUUAUACCAUAUAAUUAUAAUCAGUUUAAUUUUGAAUUAGGGCUACUCUACCCAUAAGUUACAUUCGCGUUUUUUUAUAAUUUUCAAGUAAUAAGAGUGUAAUAAAAAUUCAACUAUUAGAUACCUGAAUAUAACACUUGAUCCUUUUGUUAGUAUGAAGUUAGAUCUAAGUUGAGUUAAUAUCUUGAAAUUGGAUAGCUGAAAAUAUAGUCCUAGUCCUAAUAGUAAGGAUAAAAAAUGCUUGAGUGACAUAUAUAUAGUCCUAGUCGUAAUAUUAAGGAUAAAAAAUAUACAAGGACAUUCACUCAAAGUGAAAUAUGACACACCACGUAGCAACAACUCAAAACAAAUGUAGGCUGCGCUACUUGAAAAUAAUUUAAUAUACAUAUGACAUCAUGUUCUUCUCAAAUUGUUAUUAUGCUAGAUUCAAAAAAUUUUAACCAUUGUAAAAAUCCCCAAGUUAUUAACAUUGCUGCAAAGACCCAUAGAAAUUUAAUACUUUAGCAACCAAAUGAAGCAAUGAAUACUACUACACGAUCCGUGGAUGUUUUCAGUGUUUUAGUUGGUGGGGGUAAUUAAUAGUUUUUAAAUAAUAUUAUCUUCAUAGUCAAUUGUAAAUACUUUUCAUUAAUGAAACAAACAAAAAAUAAAAAAGAUAGUUGACAGUGCUAUUGGAAACUCCUAAUAUUGGAAAAGUCACUUAAUAUAAUGACAAAAGUACCUUCCCUUAAGAUCCUAACAUAAAUGAGAACUAUUUUGUUGUUUCACAUGGAUAAAUGACUAUGAAAGGGAAUUAAACAAAUAAGGACAAAAGAAAUUAAAGCAUUCUCUACCGUGUUCAACAAGAGGACAAAACACAUUUUUGCUGUGUUCUGGUGGUGUUUGUGGUCUUGUUUUCUAAAAGGGAGAAUGUGCAUCAUUGAUAUACUGGGAGGUCAAAAUUACGUUAUAUCUGAAUCAUGGAUGUAUAGGUGAUUAGCGGCAAUAAUUGGGAUGGCAACAGCCUGUUGAAUAUCAAUGUAUUGAUCAUCUUGGUUCAGUUGUUCAAAUGAUAAACAAAUGUCAAACAAUUUGCAUGUUCCCAUAUGUUCCCUGUUGUUGACAGGACCAUCUUUAAUCUCUACGAAAUGCUAGACUGUUGUAGUAAUAAUGCUAUUUAAAAUCAAGCAAAAGUGACAAGGUUUCUAUUAUAUUACCUUUAAGCUGAAGAGGUUAAGUGCGUCCUCUUCUUUUAGAACUUCAAGGUUGUGUAUUAUUCCAUAUUUCCUGGAACAAUGUUUUGCAAUGCUUUCCUCCCUUGUAGUCACAAUUAUUCGGGAUGUUUUUUCCAUCCAAGAAAACCCUUGUAUUAUAUGGUCCCAUUCUUCAAUGGAUGAUAGAUCGUCCAGAACAAUCAAGCAGCUCUUCUUUUCUAAAAGCCUUUUCAACUCUUUAGUCAAGGCUUCAACCUCCAUCAUUGCUAAUGAUUCGGUCCUUUUGGGUCUAUUGUUCAACAGUUCUUCCUUCUUAGAAGACUCUUCUUGUAAUCGCCCGACUAAACUUCUAAGUAGAUCUGCAGGAUUGAAAGGACGCAUGAUUGUGACAAAAGCAUGCUUCUCAAACAUGUCACUUAACUUUGGGCUUUGAUAAAUGCCAUUGGCUAGAGUGGUUUUUCCAAGACCACCCAUUCCCCAAACAGAGAUCACCUGACUCUGUUGGCUAGCCUUGUUUGAGAUUAAUCCUAUAAUUUUGAAUAUUUCUUUCUCUCGACCAAUCAGUUGAGAUUCCUCCAAAGAACCAACACCCGUUCUGAUGCGAGUGAGGCUCUUUUUGUCCACCUUCGUUUCAUCAACAUCCUUACACUGAUUCUCUGUUAUCUCACUAGGGGCCACUGUUUGGGCAUUUGUACUGGUAGUGGCCACAUCUGAGUUAGAUACUAGAUCCAUAGAAACCAUUUCAUUUUGAGAACCCUGAACAAACAGAAAGUACAAUUAUUGGAAGCAACCUUUAAACUUCAUCUUCUUUUUAUUUUUUAAGGUUAUGUGUACCUAUAACAAAAGUACUAUAUAACCUUUUAUGUAAUCAUGCAGUGAGUGACUAUUGGUCAUAAAUCAAUUUAACAAGGUAUGAAAAUUACAGAUAACAAAAAUCUGGCCUCGCUGCGGUGCUUAAGUUUUUAAUAUCUAUAAGCCGAAGUCCUAACAUAAAUGACUAAGGUCAUAGUUGAAGACAUCAGGGGUAAAGGGUAAUGGUUUCAAAUGAUCCACCUCCAUCUGAAAUCAUAAAACCCAUCCAGUUAUUACUCAGUAAUAUGUAGUUUAAACGACGCUCCCUAUUGAUAGAAAUAUCUUGGUGUCCUCCUAUCUAAAUAUUUAAGAGUUUAGUGGCUGUGUUUAUAUUAGCUGUUGAAGAAGCCGUAAAUUAUAACUUCUUCAUCUAAUAUUCAACGAUGAAUCCCAAGUUAUGUUUAUCCUCCCCUCAAGAGAUGCUGCGAUCAACAUAGACUACAGCAAUGAACAGAUUCAGUAUCUUUCCCCUUCAUAUAGAUUUUCAGUUAGCAAAUGCAGUGAUUUCACAAUUUUUCUAGUAUAUCCAUUCAUUAAAUCUGCUGGAAUAUCCAUCUAAGAUUUAACAAGGUAUUAUUUUUCACAUUGACAGUGGGAUGUUGCUUUUCAAGCACAGAUGGGACAAUUGCUUUCGAGAUUUAUAUAAUUAAAAUAAAGCUUCAAAAUUUACAGUUAAGCAAGGAAGCUUAUAUUCCCUCCGUUUCAAAAUUUACAGUUAAGCAAGGAAGCUUAUAUUGCUUUAGAGAUUUUUGCUAUGCACCUAAAGGGUUAUGCCUAGAUACAUACCAAACUCUAUGUAUUUAUAAAAGCCAAAACGACCUAUAAUUUGAAACAGAGGAAGUACUUCAUUACACUGCAACUGCUUAAAUGCUGUUGGAAAAUAAUAUAAUCCUUGAUACGUGGAUAACUGAACCAGAAUAACGAUGUCACAGAAUGUUACUAAAAAUAAAAAUAUAAGUAUUACCUUGUCAUAGAAUGCAUAAAGCGUGUGAUCAGCAGACAAUUGCUUUAGCUCUGAGGCUUGGCUAUCUUGCCCUGCACAUAAGCUUGCAACUUCAACUUGUGUUGUUGACACUAUGAUUCGGCUUCCUUUGUUGUUGUUUGGCAGGCAUUUUUCGAUCUGGUCCCACUCUUCAAUGGUGCAGAGGUCAGUAAGUACAAUGAGAAACCUCUUCUCCUUCACAUAUCCAUCGAACUCCUGAACUAAAUUGCGCGCGGUUUUCUCUAUGUCCAAUAUAUCUUUAAAUCCUUCCAAUGCAAGAAAUUGGUUCACUAAGCUCUGGACAAAGCCUUUUGAACUGAAUGGAUGAGUCACCCUCACCCAUGCUCGGCUGGGAAAUUUGCUUUGGGUGUCUGGAUUCUUGUAAGCCGCCCUGAUGAUGGACGUUUGGCCGAUAUCUCCACCUGUUCCCCACACCGCAAUGACUCUAAGGUCAUCACCCUCCUUGUUGAUCAGUUGGACGAGAUCCACUCUCUGACUCUCCUCCUUUGCGGCACGCCUUGCAUCAUCAACACCGAAUAUGGCUGCAGCAAUGAUGCUUGAUUGCUCAGUGGCAGCUGUGGCCUUGGAUCCGGAGCCCUUGAUGAGGCGGUACCGAACAUUCCUCUGGCUCACAUCCUCAACCUUGGCCCUGAGCUCCUUCAUCUUCUUGGCCACACGGCGCCGCUCGAGCAGCGUGCGAGGGAAUCGCCACCAAGAUGGCCUCUCCACACGGACAGCAAAAUCUUGGAGACUGUCCUCGACGUCAUAGGCCGUGUCACGGACCUGCUUCACCCAGGUCUUCACCACCUUGUUGUCGCCUCGCUCCUCGUGUGCCUCCAUCAGGAAAGACUGCAUCAUCUCAAGCUCAUCCGAGACGAACGCAUGAUCUCGCUGGAUACCGAGCUGCAAGGCUACCUCCUCUGCGAAGGCAGAUUUCGCGUAGCCGACCGCUCCAUUCAGCACGGACUUGCCCACACUCAGCGCCGUCGCCUCCAUCGUUCUGCUGUGUUUCUCCGUGGAUCUAUACAAGGCUCAAAUUUAGAAGCUAAAACUCCGAGGCAGAAAAGGAUAGAUGGACAGGCGUUGAUGCCACCCAGUAAGAUGGCAAGUACCUGAAUUUUGGUGAACGCACAACCAAGGCAGGGGCAGAUCUAGAGGUAAAUAUGCUGCAAAAUACAUUCUUGCUGUAAUGACAAAUAAUACUCAACUGAACAGUACAAUCUGUGAGAAACUGAAGAUCUUUGAAAGUAUACCUUCUGUGGCCUAUGAGAUCUUGUGGCGUGGAAGUAAAUACAGCACUCUACUGCUUUGAUCCGGCGAGGCUCAAGGUCACGGGACGGCCCACACACGCACGCCCUGACGUGACCCGGCAAGCCAGCAAGGUUGAGGCCAAAUGGUGGAAGCGUGAUUCCAAGGCAGUAGGCACCGAGAUGGCGGUGCCGCCCUCGCCGACGAGCUAUGCGGCCACUACUCUUGCACCCGGUCGGCCUGUCGCCGCUCACACUCUGUGGUGUCUUGGUAGUCACCAGUCACUCCCUCGGGGUCAAAUUACUAUUUGUUUUAGCUAACGAAUAGUAAUUUGGGGUGGAGGGGGUAGAUUUUUUCAUUCAGUUACAUCCAAAGCGAUUGGGUAGCAACCAUAAUAUACUUAACCUACAUGGGGCGGUACAUUGGCAACAAUGAGAUACUUAACGAACCAACUACCCUAGUUCCUAACAUAAGCUGGUGAGGAGUCAAUGUGAUCCGCCAUAUUCUAUGUUCAACUUUAUCAGUAGGUGUAAGAACCAUAUUAUAUUUCAUUCAGUCCAUUCACGUCUUUUCGUUGGUUUGCCAAACAAAUCCCAAGAAAUACGAUCCAUAUGUCCUACCACCAAGAUCUCCAACACAUACAAUUUCUAAAAGAGAAAAGGUGCGUCGAUUAGGUUGAUCGGUGUAACCAUCCAGGCACAAAUUGACAAAAGUUCGAGGCCUUUCAUCAGCCCCC